GGUGGAUUCCACGACCAUUGAAAAACCCAAUACACGACGGUGAUUUACCGUCGUCUUUUUACUUUUUUGUAGUAGUGAAUGGUUCACAUCCUACAUGCAUUAUGGUCAAAUCAUGGACGUCCUAUGCACAAGUUAAAAUAAUGAAUAAGUUAGGACUUGAAUAAAAUUACAAUAACAAAUUUAGAGCUUGAAUAAAAUGGGUACUAAUCACAUCACUUAAAUUAGACCUAAUUGCAGGGUUUGCAUUGGCCUUAGUCAAAUAAGCAAUGGCUUGUGGUGUUUGAGGCUCCAGUCCAGCCAUGCCCGAGUCAUUCUUCAAAAACUUUUGUACACACGAACCUAAAACGUGUCACUUGCUUGAUUGGUGCCAAUCGCCCCAUCUUCGGAUAUAGAAACCCACCCUCUACAUAAAGCCUCAUCUUCUUGUGCGUCGGGGGCUCCAUCUAGGCUUUUUGGCCAAAAUUUGACAAUUGGCACUCUUCAAGCCCUCUCUAAUGCUAAAGGGGCCAAAUCCAAAUUUUCAUCCUUCAAAAUACAACUAUUCAUGUAUGGCUCGGACUCCAACAGGUUUUUCCCCCAACCAUCCAGACUGAAAUUUUGAGUCUGUAGCCUUAUUAAAUUGUUUAAAAAUAGUUGAACUCUAAAGUUUUUUUUUUUUUUUUGGUUCAUUUUUCUUGAGCUAAUUUUUUAUUACAACUUGAUGAUUUUUUGUUUCUAAACAUUUUAACCUAAAAGAAAUUAAAAUUUGACAAACUAAAUUUUACAAGUUAGUGGCUGAGCUUGCUUUGUUACAAUGUGAUUGGGAAGGAAAUGAGGGAAGAAUUGAACAGAUAAAAGUGGGGCUUAAUGCAGUUUGGGGCCAAGAGGAGAGUUAUUGGAAACAAAGAUUGGGGAUUCAAUGGUUGAAGGUGGGAGAUUCCAAUACCGCUUUCUUCCACCAAAGCACGCUUAAAUGAAGGAGGAGAAACAGAGUCAGCAUGAUUAAAAAUGUGAAUGGCGUGUGGGGGAGGGCUGAUAGUCAAGUUCGAAAGGCAUUUGUAGAGUAUUUUCAAGACCUUUUCACUUAUGAGGGGAGGAGAGAGUGGGGGGAUGUUCUGACCUUUAUAUCACCAGUGGUUACUGAGCAGAUGAAUAAUAGUCCAUGCUAUAUUGUGUCAGACGAGGAGAUAAAGGAAGCUGCAUUCUAGUUAGGUGCUCUCAAAGCACCUAGCCCAGACGGAUUCUCUGGAAUUUUUUAUCAAAAAUAUUGGGAAACAAUAGGCGGGGAUUUAUGCAAGAUGGUCAAGGAAUUUUUCCUUCGAGAAGCUUCUGUUCACUAUUUAAACAUGACUGAGAUUCCUUUAAUUCCCAAAGUUCCAAACCCAGAAGUUGUUACUCAGUUCCAUCCUAUAGCUUUAUGCAACUUUUCUUAUAAGAUCAUCCCAAAGAUUCUUGCUAAUCAUUUGAAGCCAAUUUUGGCAGAGAUCAUAUCCCCUGAGUAGAGUGCCUUCAUCCCUGGAAGACAAAUACAAGAUAAUAUUCUGUUAGCUCAUGAAGCUUUUCAUGCUUUGAAACUCCAAAAGAAGACAAAAGUUUAUGAGAUGAGGCUCAAGUUGGAUAUGAAUAAAGCAUACGACAGAAUUGAAUGGGAUUUUGUGCAAGCAGGUUUUGCUCGUGAUUGGGUGCAGCUGGUUAUGGAGUGUAUCUCCUUGGUCCGAUUCUCAGUGCUUUUAAAUGGUAGAUCAGGGACUUCUUUCAAGCCUUCCAGGGGUAUUACACAAGGUGACCCUAUAUCCCCGUACUUCUUCAUUCUAGUCAGCGAUGUUCUUUCAUCGAUGCUUAACAAAGCAGUGGAGAAAGGGCUUGUGCAAGGAAUAAAAUUCAGUGGAGAUGGCCCUAUUUUAUCCCAUUUAUUUUUGCACAUGAUUCUAUUCUAUUCUUAAAGGCUACAGAGAAAAAUUGCACUACUGCUGAUUGCAUUCUAAGAGCUUAUUGCCAUGCUUCGGGUCAAGUGGUGAAUUAUAAUAAAUCAAGUAUUUAUUUCAGCCCAAACACUCCUGAGCAGCUUAGGGAGAAUGUAGGGCACAUCUUGCAUGUUAACAUUAUUGAUAACAUGGGUAAGUAUUUGGUUUACCAACGAUGUGGGGCAGAUUUAAGCAAGAGGUGUUGAACUUUGUGAAAGAAAGAAUUUUGAGUAAAGUGGAAGGAUGGAAGCAGAGACUUAUCACUCAGGCUGGUUGGGAGAUCCUCAUUAAAGCGGUGGCCUAAGCUAUUCCCACUUAUCCUAUGUGUCUUCGUUUCUUUUCCAGGAGGUCUAUGCAAAGAGCUAGAUGGGAUCCUGGCAAAUUUCUAGUAGGGAAAAUGAUGAAAAAGACAAAAUCCAUUGGAUUAGUUGAGGGGGAGCUGGGAAUGCCUAAAAUGGAGGGUGGGAUAGGCUUUGUAAUAUACAUGACUUCAACUUGGAGCAAAGCUGGAGAUUGCUUAUGGAUCCAAAUUCUUUUUGGGCUUUGAUGAUGAAGAGUAGAUAUUUGCCAUCUUGUAGCUUUCUUCAAGCUGGAAAGGGAGCUCGCGCCUUUUGGGCAUGGUCCAGUAUGCUGGAGGGCAGAGAAGUGAUUGUUAGGGGAUCAAGAUGGCAAAUUCUGAAUGGUACCACAGUUAAGCUAUAGACUGAUAAAUGGUUUUCUGUGUCGCCUGAUGGUUUUCUUCAUCCUAUCAACAAUAAGCUUGUGGAUGAGAAUAACUUUGUGUCUGAAAUUAUUAACCCCACCACAAAAUGUUGUAUCAUCUCAGUUAAGGAUGCUCGGGUGAUAAAAGCCAUGCUUGUUGGAGGAGGUAGCGAAACUGAUCGGUUGGUUUGGCCUUUGUAGGGGCUUUUCGAUUUUGGCAGCUACAGAUGGGCCUUGGUUGCUGUAAGGAGCAAAUGGGUGGACUUGCCCCUGUGUCUAAGUUCAAGAAUCAGGCCCCAAGAGUGCUUCGAAAGGGUUGUGGAGCCUUAGGAAACACCUUGGUCUCCUUCACCAACAAAACCAACAGUUGCUUACAGAUGAAUAUCUUGGCUUGGCGUGAGAAGCUUGUGGCAUGGAAGCUAAGCAUUCAUGAGUUUAGCAUCAAAGAGAGAGAGGGCUUUGAUUUCCUAUGAGAAACAGGGGUUCAAAGUAAGGGGAUAAGGAAUUUCGAGAGAAUUUGUUGAGGGCAGAGAGAAAGAGAUGAGGGAGGAGAAGUGGGUGGUUUGAGCAAUUUUCCAAGUCUCCCCCUCCAUUCCUUUCUUCCUUUGAUUCAUCCCUAUCUUGUGAAAUCCCCCUAAUCCAAACACACAGAGACAAGAUUUUUGGGAGCUCUAAAGUCUUCUCACAGCUGCUGCAGUGGCAAUAUCUUAUCUUUGGCUACCAUAUCUCCUUAUUUCCUCCCUUAAUUCAUGGCAAAAGCUAGUAAGAGAAAGAAAUAGGUAAUGGCGUUGGUUUGAAGGGUGUUUUUCCCCUAGCAACUUGCGCAAAGAAAUAUCCUUUGGUUUUCUUGAAUGGUUUGUCUUGGGUUUGCCUUUGGCCAUGUGCUGGAGACUCCCAGCAGCCUGCUCAUACAAGCAUCCCUUGGUUUUCUAUCAUGUUUUUGUCUCUAGCCAUGUGCUAGAGACUUUUCAGAUAUUUUCUAACUCACUUAGGCCAUUCCCUAAGGUGAUGGGCUAGUUUACUAACAGGAUAGGCCAACUUUUUAAAAUGAUGGACUAUUUUCACUAAGGUGAUGGGCCAAUUUUCUAAGGUAAUGGGCUACCUUUUUCUCUCUUUCAUGCUUACCCACAUAUUUGGGCUCAAGAAAUGAGUUUGAGUUUUGGGGCUCCCUAGCAGCCUAAAACUUCUACUUCUUGGCUCAUCAAUGUGCCUCGUGAAUACUCGUAACCAUCCAUACCACAACCCUACUCAGUAAGCCCUGGACAUUUGCGUGGCUUGGGCCAACUUAAACUUGUAGCGUGGCUAGGCGUAAAAUAAAGGGUUUUCUGCUUGGCAUGGAAUGUCGAUUGGCGUGCUCUUAUUUCAUCGUAUUGUAAAGGGCUAUGGUCAAGUCAAAACAGCGCUUGAGGGGAUAAUUAGCAAGGGUUCAUAGAUCCGGCGCAUUUUAUAGGCUUGAUACAACUCUAAGUGUAAUAGGUUACAUAUUUGCUUGCCAUGGCACGUGGAUUGCGACUCACGUGAGCAUGUAUGAUGAACUUUCGUGUGCCCGAAUCGGAUUUCUUCUCAGUAAGGUAUCACUUCUUUAUUUGUUUUUGUAAUUAUUGUUCAUAAGAUGAAAAGGGUUCUCUUCGAGGAGGAUUUCUCUUCUCACAGAAUUGAGGCUUCUCUACUCACAAGUUUAUCUCUCAAACCUCUCUAAAUUUGGAUGCUUAUGAUUUUGAAAUGAAAUGUCAAAAUCAAUGCCAACCUAUCUGCCACCAUGCUUGUACCUGUAAACUCAUACAUGAACACAACCAAGUGUUCGCUUGCACUGGCCGACAUUAUUAAUAUGACAAAAACCCAAGCAUGCCACCAACCAAUGUACGAAAGCUGCAAUCAUUAAUGUUAUGUGGUAUUAUUGCUUUCCCACAUGGUUCACCUGCAACCAUUAAUGCAGUCUUGAUGAGUUUAGUACGAAAACGUUAUUCAUAUGACAAAAACCCAACCAAGCCACCAACGAAUGUAUGAAAGCUACAACCAUUAAUGUUAUGUGGUAUUAUUGCUUUCCCACAUGUUCACGUGCAACCAUUAAUGCAAUUUUGGUGAGUUUAGUACGAAGUAAUAGCCAAGAAAUAUCAGUCACAACACAAGAAUUCCUCAAGAGAUCCACUAUAAAUAUAGCUAGCUAGCAUGCUAACUUCACGUGGAGUGAGAUUUGGCAUUAAUUUGUUUCUAGAAUUAAUUAAGAGAAAAUGGUGGAAACAUUGCUAAGGUAUAUGGUUUAAACAAAGUCCACUCACAGAAAGCUCAAGCUGGUAUGGCCCGGUAGGGGUCCCGCCUGUUGGUUAGCCGGAGCCUAAGAACCUCACUCGUAGGAUUUCGUUACGGCAACAGAAAAACUGCGAUUUUCCCUAUCUUUCCAGUCUCUUCUUGGCUCGAAAUCUGUUCUGGAAAUUAAAGGGUCAUGUAUAGGAGGUGGAGAGGAGUGUUUUGCAAGUUACGGCGUCGUGUUUGGUGGUCGGACGGAGCCGGAAUUGCCGUCGAAAUUGACAGUGUCGCAUCGGAGAGAGAGAGAGAGAGAGAGAGAGAGAGAGAGAGAGAGAGAGAGAGAGAGAGAAAAGCCAGAUUUUUAAGACUCAAUUUCAACAAAUUUACGAUUGUGCCACUACAGUUCCGUUGACCAUAACUUCCUUGUUAAAACUCCGAUUUGGGCCCGCUACAUGUCUACGAACUCGUAAGAGCGAGCUCUACGUAAUGGGAUAACUCAAUUCCCCAAAUUCCUUUCCAAAUUAAAAGUGACCAAUUUACCCUUACUCUUAAGGGUAAAAAUGUAAACUCAAAAGUUCUGGGCUCAGAUGAUCCAAUUUCUCAGGUGGUUGAUGUAGUUCAGAGAUGGCUCCUUCCUCCCUAGUAUGUUCUAAAGCUAAAUGUGGAUGCAAGCUGGGACAAGAAGACCUUGGUUGUUGGUUUAGGGGCUGUCAUUUGGGACAGGAAGGUUGUUUCAUAAGGGGAGGUGGAAUGGCCAGACUGUCCUCUUCACCUAUUAAAGCUAAAGCCCAUGCAACUUUAAAUGGUUUAGUGAUCUCUACGAAGUUAGGUUGCAUUCGUUUAGAGUGCGAGUCCGACUCCAAGGAGCUAAUUCAAAGUGUUAAAGGAAAUAUUCGAAAGGGAAGGUGGAAGAUUUUCCCAAUUCUUGCAGCGAUAAGGGACAAGUGCAGAUCUUUCAUUUCUUUUUCCUGGAAGUGGAUGCCGCGCCAAGCAAAUGAAGCAGCUGAUGCUGCAGCUUCGGAAGCAAAGAGGAUGUUGUGCGACGAGGUUUGGAUUAGCAGACCUUCAUCCUCCUUGGUUUUCAUUCUCCAAAGUGACGGGCUUCCCUGUCCUCCACAGGUGUAAGGUUUUGUCCAGUUAGGCUCCUAGUUUGUUUCUAUCCUAGCUGGUGUUUAGUUGCUGUAAGUAUUGCUAAAAUAUAAAGAUAAUUGUUAUAUUUACAGAAUUUCAAAACAAUUUAUCACGUGGUGAUGAAGGGGUUGUUAGUUAUCGUUCUUGAGAAAGCUGAAAUCCCAAAAGAAGUGCAGAAAAUUUUGCAGGCGUUUAAGCAGUUAAUUGUUGACGUUCAAGGGUCUCCCCAAUCUACCACAUUAUCGCAUGAGUCCUAAGGAGAAUGACAUUCUACAAGAGAAGAUAGAAUAGUCGCUGCAAAAAGAGUUCAUCCGUGAGAACAUAAGUCCUUGUGCAGUCCCAGUAUUGUUGGUGCUGAGAAAGACAAAACAUGGCGUAUGUCUGUUAAUAGAAGGGCGAUCAAAAAAAUUACUAUCAAAUAUAGAUUUCCAAUACCGCUGUUGGAAGACAUGCUGAAUGUGUUAGAGGGUUCCAAGGUGUUUUCGAAGAUGGACCUUCGAAGUGGUUACCAUCAGAUUCGUAUCAAGCCGGGUGAUGAGUGGAAAACUGCGUUCAAAAGCAAGGAUGGCUUGUACGAGUGGAUGGUGAUGCCUUUUGGUUUAUCAAAUGCGCCAAACACUUUUAUGCGCCUUAUAAACCAGGUUCUUUGUCCUUUUUAUUGGUUCUUUUGUUGUGGUGUAUUUUGAAGAUAUUUUAAUUUACAGUCGAACCAAGGAAGAACAUUUGGAGCAUUUGAAACAAGUCCUUCGAGUAUUAGAGCCAUUCUAGCGAGGAGCCUAAGUCUGAGCUGGGAGGGGGGGGAUGAGCGAAAAAUCCAUUUCCAGCAGACCACUGCUGCCCGGGCUGGCUGUGGGACCCACGAGCUCGUAUGCACUGACAUCAGCCCUGCCCGAUUCCAACGGCUAGAAGACACGUGUCUUCGCCUGGGCACUCCGAUCUGCUUCUCCUCCUCCAAUCCAACGACUGGCCUUCUUUUGGCAAUAAAAUUAUGAAAAAAAUACCAAAAAAUUCUGAAUUUUUUUUCUAUAAAUACCUAUCAAUACCCUUUACUUUCAACACCAAUCCUCAUACAUUUUCUUCUACUUCUACUAUUAUUCAUUCUUUACUCAACAUUUUAUUAUCUUUCAAAUUGUAUUUUUAUUUCUUAUCUUUAUGGCUUCUUCUAUCGAAACCGGUGUGGAGCACCAUAGAAGAUGUUUUCUUGUCCGAGUCCUGGGUCCAAAUUAGUCAUUGUCCCGUGUCAGGCAAUGAGAUGAAAUUUUGUCAUAUGUGGAAAAAAAUCCAUGCCGAAUUUUGUAAAAAAAUUCCGGGGUCGACUCGAACGGAAAUGAUAUUGUCUAGUAGGUGGAAAAUUCUCAAUAAAGAGUUGGCAAAAUGGAGAGAUGCCUUGGCAAAAGUAAGGGACAACCAUAGAAGCGGGGAAAAUCUUAGUAGCGAGGUAAAUAUUUUGUAAUUUUCGUUGUAUUAAGUUUAAUGUCCUAAUAUAUAUAUAUUGUUAAUAUUUCUUGCAUUUUCAAUAUUUUGUUAAUAUUUCUUGUAUUUCCAAUUAUUUCUUAAUAUUUCUUGCACUUCCAAUAUAUUUGCAAGGUUAAUUCCAUUUCCAUAAUUUUUUUUUUUCUGUUAAUAGAUGAUUCAAGUACAGAUGUGGUUUGGUGCAAUUGGGCAAGGCAAAAUUUUUUUCAACCAUCAUGAAUAUUGGGAGGUGGUGAAAAAUUGCAAACGCUUCAGAAUUAUUCCCAUGGGUCCCGCCGUUAUGUUAAAUGAGACGCCACUCCAUGAUUCAAUGACAUCAGAUUCACCUCUCGAUUCCCCUAUGAGUCAAGACUUACCCAUUGAAAAGGAGCCAAGGCCCAUUGUUCGAAAGGCUGUGAAGGCGAAGAAAGGGAGUAAUUCUAGCAGUAAUACAUCAAAAAUUUUGGAGGAAAUUGUUCAUCCGUUUUAUGUUUGUUCCUAUGAUGGAUGGGUAAAGUUCCCCAUUGCUCUGAGAACCAUUGACUUGUCAACAAGUCAACUUUCUUUAGUGUGCAACCGUGCCACUGCUAUAAAUGAAAAUCCUAACAGACUUCUCAAAAAUAGGUAACUUGCGCCUCAAGUUACUAAUUUCUAAGUAAGUUCUUUUCUUGUCUCAGACUAGUGAGGACUUCACAAUUUUUCUCAGUAUAAAACUGGUAGUCCUGGCAAGAAUAAAUGAUAAGAAAACGAACUGUUUUUAGGUAGAACUGCCUUUUACACAACUAGAAAGGAAAAAAUCAACUCUAGAAAGACACAAAGAAGGUUGGACUUCCAUUUUUGCCUGGAUAGAUGCUUCUGAUUCGGGCUGGACUGGGUAUGCCUGUGCUGGACUGGACUGUCAGCAACUUCAACUAUUGAGUUUCAGUUGUAAAUCGAUACCAAUGUUCGAAUUUGGUAGAUCUUUAAUCUAUUUCAAGCCCUGGAAGGCUUCUUGAACGGGCAGAAUUGCGGCUUGUUCAGUCUGGAAGAGGCAGAAGUGGCUGGACUUUGAGGAUUAUUGAGCUGGAACUGCGCUUUGGUACCUGUUCUGCUUGAUCAGUGCUCUCCAUAAAUUUGUUGAGGUUUUUAUAUUUGUAAAACCCGAACUCUGCUUGGUUUGGCUUUUAUUGAACCAAAUUUGUAGUGAGAGAAAUCUCGUUUUGAAUGACUUAUUUCUCUAAGUCUGAAACUGGAAGUUUGGAUUUUUAGCUGGCCUCUCUCUUGUGGCUCAAUAAGCUUUUGGUUGCUUCAGGUUGUUUGAAGGUUCUUUGAGAUCAAGUGAUCAUUUUGAGUUUUUGUCUUUGAUUGAUUUUUUGGUUGUUUGAUUGUGUGUCCUUUGCUCUGUUCACCCUCUCUUAUAUUUAUAAGAAAUGUUUUGGAGUGGGGUUUCUGAUUCUUUAAUAAUGGGCAGCAAAAAUUCUCAAAAGAUCUUUCAUUUUUAAAUGUAAAGAAAAAGGGAUGUUAUCAAUUUUGACAGAUAAGCUCUCAAUAGUGAAUUCCUAAAGCAAUCACUUCCUUGUUUUCUUGAAAGAAAACCUACCCCUUCUUUAAUUCCAACUGCUUUUGUAAGAGCUCAAACUGUGAUGGUUAGUUUGAUUUUCCAGAUGAACAACUGCCUGCUUCCUGCUUAUCUACCAAACGUAGUAUGCUUAUCUCUUGGAAAUGGUGCCUUCCUUUGGAGCAGAUUUUUCUCUGAAUAUAUAUAUAUAUAUAAGGGAUUUUGAUCUUCUGGUGGCAGAGAUUUCAGAGAUGUCUUUUCAUACCUGCCCUUAUUAGCUCUUUUAUCAUCUUAAUUGAAUUUGUUGACUUUUCCAAGUCAGGAGAUCACGUGGGUCUGUUUCUUUUUUUUGGGCUUAUCUUUCUUUCUUUUAAUCAUGCCAAGCUCAGGUCGAGUUUUUUGGAGUUUAUGGGCUAAUUUCCUUCUUUGCCUUUUUUCAAAGCCCAAGUUAUAGUUGUGUUUUGACAGAUCCUGGGCUGGGCUUUCUUGGACUUUGAUCCCUCGGUUCCUGUUUAAUCGCAAAGUCCAGACUGCUUGGGUCCUGUGGUUUGUUUUGUCAUUCUAGGCUUUCAGCGUUGGGCUGGGCACGUAAUUUGUUGGCCCAAAUAGAAAUUGCAAGGCAGAGCUCCAUAAGAAUUGAAAUGGAGCGGAAACACCAAGAGAAUGAGAUGACAAUUCGAGCAGAAUUUGUACAAGAAAGGGAGUUUUUGCUCAAAGAACUCAUUGACAAAAAGGAUCGGGAAACCAUGGCCAUGGAUACAAGCCAUAUGUCCCUUGAAACAAAACAAUUUUGGAAGCUAGAACGAAGGGAUGUUAUGAGAAGAAGACUUUUCCAUGACGAUGGGCCUAGCAACACGGAUUGGUUAAAUGAUGAAAACCAUUAAAUUAGUUGGCCUACCUUUUAUUUAUUUGUAUUUUUCAUGUUUUGUAUUUUUAUUUGUUGUAAUUCAUGUAUUUUAUUUUAGUAGUAGUAAUUAUUUAUUUUAGUAGUUGUAUUGGCUUUCUUUAUUUAAUAAACAAAGCAUUCAAUAAAAUAUUUUUUUAUUCAACAUAUUCCAUACAUCAAAGAAAACAUAACCAAAAUGGAAAAAAAAUAAGAGAGGGAUAGCUACCAUGAACGCGCCUCACACGCUUUGAAGGUUUUCUCUGUUUCCUCACUUGUUUUGCGUGUGCUCAGGGCUGUGACUACAGCGGCCGUCGACGACAGUCUCUGUGAUGCCAUAAUUUGUUUUCUCUGCUGGGGUGGGUGGUUCCCUUAAAGAUGGCCCUAUUGCUGGUGAGAAAAGAGCUCGUACCCAGGAGAUGUUGGAUGUUGGCGGACUGGAAUUGGACGAGCCGUCUCCCCAUCUUCCUCCAAUCCCGAUGAGUUUUAAGGAUAAAGUUUCUGGGUAUUUUGGUAUGGCGGAGGAUCAGUUGGUGUUUAGCGAUGAUGAUGUUGUAAUUCAGCAAAGGGCAAUUCCCUCAAUACAAUUCUCAGACAAAGUAAAGAGCUCUUUGUAUCGGCCUUGGCGUUCUGCUGUAAUUAUUAAGCUCAUGGGUCGUCCUCUGGCUUGCACCUUUCUCAGAUCUCGUCUUCUCCAGAGAUGGGCACUUAAGGGUCCUAUGAGCUUAAUAGAUCUAGAAUAACUACUUCAUUGUGAAGUUCCUUUAUGAGGAAGAUAUGAGAUACGUGCUCACUGGUGGUCCUUGGCAAAUUGCUGGCCAAUACAUUGUGACACAGAAAUGGAAGCCUCGGUUUAAUGCAAAGGAGGAGAAGAUCACCCAUAUGAUUGCUUGGGUUCGAAUUAAUGGGCUGAAUGUUGAAUAUUUUCGUGCUGAUGUUAUGGAAAAAAUUGGAAAUCUUGUUGGUGCUACGGUCAAGGUGGAUGCUCAUACUCUCAGUCAAGCUCGUGGUAAGUUUGCUCGAAUUUGUGUCGAAUUUGAUUUGGCUAAGCCUCUUACCCCAUUCAUUGAGAUUGAAGGCCGUACUUAUGGGGUUGUGUAUGAGGGAAUUAAUUUGGUUUGCUUUGAAUGUGGAUGUUUUGGGCAUGGGAGAGAUUCUUGCCCUAUUAUUUUGCAAGCCAAACAGCAGGUUCCAGAGUCAGAUAAUGCUGAUUGUAUGGAGGAUAUUUCUACUGUCCAGGUUAAUGUGAAUUUAGGUGCUGCUACAAAGGAGGCUGAGGUUCCAGCAAAGAUGCAUCGGAAGUGGAUGUUGUUGAAGCCAAGGAAUUUUAGGAAGAAUAGCACGAAUGAUAUAGGAAAGGGUGCUGAGCUUAGCAAGAGGAAUACAAAGGAUACUGGUUUGAAAGCUAUUAGUCCUGUCUUUGGUUCUCAGUUUAAUGUGUUGAUUGAGGAGGUUGCAAAGAAGAGGAUAUGGAGGGAUCUACUCCUAUUAAGACUAGUGAUUCUAGUUCUAAAAAAUAGGGUUCUUUUGCCAAUACUUAUUCUACUAAGGCAAAAAGUGCUGGGGUGAAAACUGCUUCCUCUCGUGACUCUGGCACAUGGGUGUUUAAAAAACCUCUCAAGGACAUUUCCAAUUCCGUGGUAGCUAAUUCUAGUAGUGGUGGUGUUAAAAGUGGUUCUGUUUUAAGGAGGCCUUGGAAGAACAGAGCUGGGGCUAAAUCUUUCUCUUGUCAUGAUAUUGAAUCUGUGGGGCUGCAAGUCAAGGGCUCUGAUGUUCAAGAUGAUGUUCGGGGGAAGUUUUCUUUUAAUUUGGGUGGCUCUCUGUUUCCAAAGUUGCCUUUAGGUAAGGGAGGUUUAUUUUUUGGUCAUGAACCUCCUAAUAUCAGUGAGAUGGGAAUUAAUGAGGUUGAGCCUUCCAAUGCGAGUGAUAUGGAUCAUCAGGGUAAUUUCUCUUAAUAUUGUGAGUCUGAUACUGGACUGGAAGCUGAUAGCUCUUUUGAGCAUGAUGGUUUUGAAGCCGUUGAGGUUGAGCAUGUGCAAAUUUAGGUUUGUACCUAAUAUUAUCCCUCAUUAUUAUCAUUUUAUGAUGAAUAUUAUUGCUUGGAAUAUUAGAGGUGCUAGUAAAGAUAGGUGUGCUAGUACUAUUAAGGACCUAAAAAAGGCUUAUGCCAUUGAUGUGUUUGCUAUUCUCGAGCCUCGAAUAAGUGGCCCUAGGGCUCUCAGUGUUGCCCAGAGUUUGGGUUUUUCUCAUUACUAUAUUGUUGAUGCUUCUGGUUUUUCUGGGGGUGUUUGGUUGUUGUAGAAUGAGAAUUCAGUUUCUCUUCAAGUUGUUGCGCACUCUAGCCAAUCUAUCACUGCGUUAGUAACUUUGAGGAAUCAUAGGUGGCUCAUCACUAUUGUUUAUGCAAACCCUUGCCCUGGGAUUCGAGAAGCUUUGUGGAAGUACUUUGAUGGUCUUAUUGAAGCUUCCAAUCUGCCUUGGCUUGUUCUAGGUGAUUUUAAUGAUAUUGUGAGUGUGGAUGUGAAAUGUGGGGGUAAUUUAGAUCAAGAUGGUAAAAAGUUUGUUGAGUGGAUUGAUCGUAACCAUUUGGUUGACUUGGGUUUCUCUAGGGCAAAGUUUACUUGGUGUAAUAAACGGAAUGCUGAAGGAAUUAUUUGGAAGAGGCUUGAUAGGGGCCUUUGUAGUAUUGAUUGGCAUCUUCUGUUCCCUGAGGCUCACCUCCUGCAUCUUCCUAGGGUGAACUCGGAUCACUGUCCUAUUUUGGUGCACCUUGACUCCAAACAUUAUCCUAAUAGAGCAAAUGUGCCUUUUCGUUUCCAAGCCAUGUGGAUGUCUCAUCCUGAUUUUAAGGAAUUUGUUACGAACCUUUGGAGUUCUGGUGAUGGUCAUGCUGUGCACAAAUCAGUUAGGCUCGUGGUUCCGCUUGGCAUUUGGAAUCAGCAGGUUUUUGGGUGUUUAUUUACAAAGAAAAGGCAUCUAUUAGCUAGACUUGCAGGAAUUCAAAAGAAGAUUUGUCAUGAGCAUAAUCCUUUCCUUAGUGAGCUUGAAGUUGAGCUUUCUAAAGAUUACAAUUUACUAGUAGAUCAAGAAGAGACUUUUUGGCUGCAAAAGUCCAGGAAUACCUGGCUUAAAGAAGGGGACAGGAAUACUCGGUUCUUCCAUCUGUUUACAGUUGUUAGACGAAGAAGGAAUAAGUUGGAAGGGUUACAUGAUGAUUUUGGGGAUUGGAUUACUGAGAAACAGAGCAUGAAACAUAUUAUUGUUAAUUAUUUUCGAGGGUUGUUUUGUGCUUUUGAUAUGGUUGGUGACUAUGCUUUGCUUCCUCAGUUGUAUCCUAGCCUUGAAGAGGCUGAUCUUGAAGGUCUUAGUUGUCCGGUUUCUAUUGAAGAGAUUAAGAAUAGUGUGUUUGCUAUUGGUAGAUUAAAGACCCCAGGACCUGAUGGUUUCCCUGCUCUUUUCUACCAAGAUUAUUGGGGGGUUUGCUCUGAUGAUAUCAUUUCCUUUGUACAGAAUUGCUUUAAUACUGCCACUCUUCUUGAUCAUUUAAAUGAGACUCUGAUUGCUUUGGUGCCUAAAGUGGAGAGGCCUAUGUUUAUGAAUCAGCUUAGGCCUAUUAGUCUUUGCAACACUCUUUAUAAAGUGGUCUCUAAAAUCCUUGUAGCUAGGCUUAGGCCGUGUAUGACUAAGCUUGUCAGCCCUAGCCAAGUUAGUUUUGUUCCAGGGAGACAAAUUACGGAUAACAUUAUUGUUGCUCAAGAAGUGCUCCACAAAUUUAAAUAUGCCAAAGGGAAGAAGGGUUUUAUAGCUUGGAAAAUUGAUUUAUCCAAAGCUUAUGAUCGUAUGCAAUGGCCUUUUAUUAGGGAGGUGCUCUGGGAAGUGGGCAUUAAAGGAAGCAUUUUGGAGUUGCUUAUGCAGUGUAUCACUUCUGUGCAGUACAAGGCCAUUCUUAAUGGGGAGCUAACUGACUCUUUCUCUCCUCAGUGUGGUAUUAGGCAGGGGGACCCUCUCUCCCCUUAUAUCUUUGUUUUGUGUAUGGAAAAACUCUCUCAUCUCAUUCAACAAAAGAUUCAGGAUAGAGCUUGGAAGUCUGUUCAGAUUUGUCAAGGAGGUCCUCAUAUUUCCCAUUUAUUCUUUGCUGAUGAUUUAAUCCUUUUUGGGGAAGGUACUAUUGAUCAAGCUUGGUUAAUGAAACAGUGUUUGGAUGAUUUCUGUCAGUUGUCUGGUCAGCGAGUUAGCUUUGAAAAGUCUAUGAUAUGUGUUUCCCCAAAUACAUGCUCUGAUUUGGCUAAUUCAAUUGCUACGAUAAGUGGUUCUCCUCUCACUGCUAGCCUUGGUAAGUACCUUGGUGUACCUCUUAUCCAUACUAGAGUCAGUAAACAAACCUAUCAAGAGGUUAUUGCUAAAGCCCAAAAGAGAUUAGCUUCUUGGAAGAGCCAUACAUUGUCUAUGGCUGGUAGAAUUACUUUGCUUUAAUCUGUUACUGCUGCUAUUCCUAUCUAUACUAUGCAAACUGCCAAGUUGCCUAUGUUUGCCUAUGAUAAAUUGGAUCAGCUCAACAUGAAUUUUCUUUGGGGGCAUACCAGCAAUACUUCUAAAAUUCAUCUUGUCAAUUGGGAGCAAGUGUGUAAACCUAAGGUAGUUGGUGGGUUAGGCAUUAAAAGGUCUGCUUGGAUGAACCAAGCUCUUUUGGCUAAGACUGGAUGGAGACUUCUUCAACAUGAGCAAGGCUUGUGGUCUCAGGUCUUCUAUGCUAAGUACUUAAAACACCAAAACAUUUUAACUGUGAAGGACUCUUAUUUCCCUUGUAGCUUUAGUGUUUGGAGGGGUGUUCUUUAUGGUAAUUCUGUCCUUUCCAAAGGUGUUAAGUGGAGAGUUGGUUCUGGGAUAAUAUGUUAUUUUGGACUGAUAGGUGGUUGAGUUGUGGUCCUUUGUAUCAAUAUUCGCUCAUUGAUCUUUAUGAGGAAAUGCUUCAGCUGAAUGCUGGUGAUUUUUUGGACAAGGGGGUCUGGGACUUUAACUGCUUAAGGGAAUGUCUUCCUUUUCAUAUUAUUCAGUUAAUUUUAAGUGUUGAUGCUCGUUUUAAUGGCAGUAGGGCUGAUAGAUAUAUUUAGCAGUUCACGACUAAUGGUUCUUUCUCGGUUAAAUCAGCCUAUAAUUCUUUUUUACUUGCUGAGGCUUCAGUUAAAUGGGACUGGCAGUUUCUUUGGAGGUUGCGGCUCGCUCCUAAGGUUAAAACUUUUCUUUGGAUUGUUUGUCAUCGAAAGUUGCUUACUAAUGUGCAAAGGUAGAAGAGAGGCCUCACUCAGGUUCCUAGUUGUCCUAGAUGUGAUUAUCCUAUGGAAACUAUUGCUCACUUGUUUAAGGAUUGUCCUUUAUCUUUGGCCAUUUGGAAUUGUCUUCAAAUUGGAAAUAAUCCUAGCCCUGAUAUGGUGGAUUUUAAAGAGUGGCUGUUAAGGAAUCUACAAUCCAAAAGAAAGGUUUAUAAUGGGUUACCUUGGCCUUUGGUUUUUGCUCUUUAUUUGUGGUUUAUCUGGAAAUGGAGAUGUAAAGGAAUUUUUGAUCAAAGGUUUGUUAUGCUUGGUGAACCACAUCAAUUAAUUCUUCAGUAUGCGUUGGAGUGGUUUAAUGCUACCAAACCGCCUUACCUUUCUUAUGUGCCGUUUGUUGUUCAACUUCAUUGGAUAACCCCUACUUAUGGAGUUUGUAAGAUUAACACAGAUGGAAGUCGUAAUUGUGUUUCUGGGUUUAUUAGUGCUGGUGGUCUUUUAAGAGAUAAUUAUGGUGCUUGGAUUAAGGGCUUCUUUGUGAACCUCGGUGUUGGUUCUGUUCUUGAAGCUGAGUUGUGGAGCAUUUUUGGGGGUCUUCAUUUGGCUUGGGAGUCUAGCUUUCGUGUUGUGGAGGUGGAAAGUGACUUUAGUGUGGCUGUGGCUCUUCUUUCUAGCUCUACUAUUUCCACACAUCCCUUGUUUAGCCUUAUUAGGUGUUGCAAGUUAAAGGUGCAAGCUGGUUGGAGAUGUUCUGUUAAGCACAUCUUCAGAGAGCAGAAUGUGGCAGCUGAUGUCUUGGCUUCUAAGAGUUCUGAGUUUGGCAUUGGGGUGCAGUAUUUUACUGAGGUGCCUACUUUUCUUGCAACUUGUUUGGCUGAGGAUGCUAUUGGGGUGUCCAGGUCCCGUGUUGUUUGUGCCUAGUCUUUUUGUUCUGGGCUCUUAGCCCCUUUUGUUACCCAAAAAAAAAAAAAAACAAAGCAUAUUCCAUACAUCAAAGAAAACAUAACCAAAGCAUAAUAAAAAAUAAAAGAAACUACAACCAAAGCACAAUAACAAAAACAAACCACAACCAAACCAUAAAAUAAAAAAAUAAAAAAACACAACCAAACCAUAACUAAAUAAAACCUAACCAAAGCAUCUAUGCUUCAUCUUUCACCGUCAUUGCCUUUCACCGCCCAUAGAUACUCCAUCAAGUCAAGUUGACACCUUUCAUGAAUAUUGCAUCUCUGUAUUUCAAUCUACCCUAGGCCUCAUGAAAUGACCAUCCCUAACCAAUAGAUCUGGCUCAAAUGGUUCUCCACUUGGCCCCAUGGGCCUUUCAUAAAUUCAUGUCAAGGCCGUGUUCAUGGGAUUUGGUUCGUAGGACUUCUGCAGCAUCGUAAUCAUACUCAUCCUCCACAAUCAUAUUAUGAAGGAUGAUGCAAGUCAUCAUAAUGCUUCUGAGGACAUCCUCAUCAAACAUACGGGCCGCAUCUCAAAUAAUCAACCACCGAGCUUAAAGGAUGCCAAAACACCUUUCGACAUCUUUCCUAUAUCCUUCUUGAUAGGAAGCAAAUAAUUUUUGCUUCUAGGAUUGGGGAUUCGGAAUGAAUUUGACAAAUGUGGUCCACCUCGGGUAGAUGCUGUUAGCUAGAUAAUACCCCGUCUGGUAGACUGUAUUGUUGACUUGAUAGCUGAUAUUGGGGCCUUGGCCUCUCCAAACAUAGUUGAAGACCAGGGAUUGACCUAGCACGUUGAGAGCAUUUUAGGAUGCAGCAACUCCGAAGAAGGCAUGCCAAACCCUUGUAUCAAAUCCAGCAACUGCUUCAAGGAUGAUACUUUCUUUUCUAUUUCUGUAAUCUCCUUGCCAGGCAGUUGGGCAAUUCUUCCAUUGCCAGUGCAUGCAGUCGAUGCUACCGACCAUUCCAGGAAAUCCUCGAGCUUCGAUUUUUUGUAAAAGCCGUUAGAGGCCCCUGGGAGUAGGUCUGCGUAGGUAGUCCCGAGUGUAAAGAGUUUCAACUGCAUCACAAAAUCUUACCAAGGCCUCCAACGUAGUGGACUUCCUCAUUCGGGCAAUCUCAUUCACCUGAUCAGCAGAUGAACUAUACGCCAACAUUCGUAUAAUAGCUGUAAGCUUUUGCUCUGGAAAAAGUCCCAAAACCCCAGCAGCAUCACACUUUUGAACAAAGUAUGCAUCAUAAUUGCAAAUAUCAUGCAUGACUUUAUUGAACAAAUGGGGUUGCAUUCUAUAUCGUCUUCGAAAAUCAACAUCAGAGUACAAAAAAGUUGGGAUAAAAUAAUCUUCCAAAAGAUUCUUACCCCGAGAAUGCCUAUGUCUGUCCACAUUCGGGCCACGGCCGACUUGUGAACCACGGCGGCGACCUUGGUUCUCUUCAUUAAGAAAAGCCACUGCUAUGACAAGUUGUUCAUCUUCUUCUCUCUGCAACCUUUGCCUUUCAACUCGUCUACAACUUCUCUCAUUUGUUUCUCGCUCUUGUCUCUCUAAGCAUCUCCUCAAAUCUUCCAUUGAGAAUGGAGUAUGAAUUCUAAACUCCGAGAAAUGAAAAUAUAAAAAGAUGUGGUGUGAGAGGUAUGAGUUGAGCCUCUAGUUUUAUAGAAAAUUUAGGCCAGAUAGAGAUGCCACGUGGCUUGAUUUGAUAGGAUGAAAAUCUUAUCUGAAAUUUAAAAUUCAGCCGAAAUUUGAAAUUUGAAAUUUAUCUUAAUUAAAAAUGGAUUUUUGACUGUUAAGGAACUUCAGGGCCUGGUGAUCUGUACAGAAUACAAAUUUUCAUUGCGCCAAGUAGUGCUCCCAUUGUUUCAAAGCACGAACCACUGCAUAAUUCUUGCUUGUAAGUACAUCAUUUUUGGCUAGCUUCACUAAGUUUCUCACUAAAAAAGGCCACUAGUUCCUUCUCUGGAGACAAAACUGCACCUACUCCCACCCCACUUGCAUCACAUUCGACCUCGAAUAUCUUCUCAAAGUUAGGAAUGGUUAGGACCGAGGCGGUGCACAGCUUGUGCUUAAUGAGGGUGAAACUAUUCUCUUGCUCAUCACCCCACUGAAACUUUCCUUGCUUCAAACACUUAGUGAUGGGUUCAGUAAUGGGGCUAAAAUGACGAAUAAACCUUCAAUAAAAGGUAGCCAACCCAUGAAAGCUUCUCAACUCACUUACUCUUUCUCGAGGUAGGCCAGUCACUAAUAGCUCGCACCUUCUCGUCAUCCACCAAAAUGCCAUCCUCGCCAAUAACAUAACCUAGAAAUAGUAAUUUAUUGGUGCAAAAAUUACACUUUUCAGGUUGAUGAAAAGUUGGUUUUCCUGUAAGAGCAACUCCACCCAUUUGCCAUUUGCCAUUUGCCAUGGCAAGGGUGGGCUAGGGCAGCCACUAUUCACGUGAAUCGUAGUUGCCUUUGUAAAAAGCCAUUUCUGUUUCCACCUGUUGCUAUGGCAAAGGGCAAUUACUAUUCAUUUUUUUAUUUUUUUUCACAAAUUUUUUUUACCUCAAUAAUAUUUUCGGGUUCCUACUUGUCAAGACUAUUCAUAAUCGAAUAAAAUUUCCGGAUAAGAUUUUUGGGUUCAAAUUUCGGAUGAAUUUCAAAAUUCAAAAGGAGUGUUGGAGUGACUUGUGAACUAUUGACUUACUUUCCUUACACACGAAGAAUUCAUUUUACAAUUGUAAUUGAUUGAUUUUAAUUUCUGAUUUCCUACUGUAAAUAGAAAUAGGAAUUUAUUAUUUACUUGCCAAUUCAGGUUUCGUUGUAUUAUAAAUAUGACCUCCUACAAGGAGAAGAAUACAUAGAAAAUUCCUACAAAUAAAUAUUCUCUCAUAGUAGAGGAAGCUAGAAAGUAGAGGAAGACAAGCUUGCAAUUUGAAAAGGAGGGAAGAGAAGCCUUGUAUGUAUAAUAGUUGGGUAUCCUUGACCAACGAGGAGCCACAAGCUAAUUCCAAGAAGAAGUCAAAAGCCUACUACAAUUGGAAGCCCAAACGCAGUUGGAAAGUCCGAAGAGUACUGAUAAGUCCAUAAAUUUACACAUUUAUGUCCUCUUCAUUUGAAAAGGUGUACAAUAUAUCUAGAAAGAUAUCUCGAAAGAUAAGACAAAACUCUACAAUUUACAUAUUUUUACCGAAUUUUCUUGGAGGAGGAACAACCCCAAACGUAUGUACAAAGUAACUGACGAGUUAUCCCAAUCCAAGUAGGAAGAGGAGUCAAUUACUUACCCAUUUUGGAUUUAUGUUUUAAUUAGAUUUCACUUUAUUUUUGGGUUGCUGUAAAAGCCCAGCUAGCGUAGGAAGAGACGUGUGGUGUUUUAUUUAAGCAUGAGAAACAACUCCUUUGGGGGUUACACACACAAAGACUAGGAGGAAUUGGAGACGCCGGAAGAGUACCUCAAUUGGCUAAGUUUUAUUGUUUCUUCCUUAUGUUUUUAUUUAUAUCGAAUUCUAUGAUUAUAUGUAACUAAUUUUCUUUUGUUAGGGCAUGAUGUAGCUCUAGUAUGAUAAUCUAUUUUUCUUAUUAUACCCAUUUAUUAAUUGCCAUUUGAUGUUGGAUUCUUAAUCACUGUGCUUUAUAACUUGGUUGAUUAUCUUAAUGCUUGAUCACCAUCUAGACUUUUAAUUGAGUUAAUCAGAUGCAAAGUAGAGUAAAUACCAUACUUAAUUUGACGCUUGCUUCUUGUGAUUAGGAUUUGUAAUUCGUCUAAGGUAAAUACCAUACUCCUAGGGUUUACAUGCUUGUUGGAGGUUUUCACUUAUGUUUAUGUGUUUCUGUGUGUUGAUAUUUGACCUAAAUACCAUAGGUGAAUUGCAUGUAGGAAUAUACGAGUUAACCUAAAUACCAUAGGGUAAUUCAUGAAAAAGGAAAACUUAGCGGCGACAUCAAUUGGUUAGUUAAUGGGUAGGUGAAUAAGAGGCUAUAUCGGAGUACUAGUGGUGAAAUCAUUAUCCUAGUGCUUUUAUCAAUUUGAAUUUCUCAUCUUGUGUUUCGUGAUUUUCUACUUGUUUUGUCUUUUAAUUUUGUUGGUAAUUAAAUCAUUCUUUCACAAACCCCUUUUGUGUUUACGUGUGUAUGCUACGUGUUUAAUUUCUUGUUUAUAUAAUUAGAGUAGUUAAGGUAUUUUGUGAAGUAAAUUAGGUUAGACUAAUUGGAAGUUGAACUCAAUCCUCGUGGGAAUGAUCUCGUAAUACUAUAUUACGAUUGACCUUAUGCACUUGCGAGUAUAAGUUGUAUUUAGACUAAUCUUUAUAAUCUCCAUUUUUUAGGUUGUCUAAAAUUCACAACAAGUAUUUCACAUCUCCACCCUGCCACAUAUGCACCAUGCAAAAGCUGGGGGGCAUUUGUGGGUGCAUAUGUUUCAGUGACCAAUGAGCAGGUGACACAUGGAAAAGGGAAAUUCCCUAGGUCAAUUAAUUACCGCAAUUGAAUCCUAUUUAAUUAGGAAAAUUAUAAUUGAUUUAAGAUGGGAAUAUCUCCCUAAAUCAAGAAUGAGAUUUCCAAUCUCCUAUUUUUCGGUAAGAAUAAUCUUAAUUAAACAAGGAUUAUUCUUCAAACCAUAACUGACAACGAGCACUAUAAAUACAUGGCUACAUCACACAUAUGAGGUAAUCCGAUUUCUACCCUAGAAAUUCCCUCUCUCUCACACCACACACACACACACACACACACACACACUCUCUCUCUCUCUCUCUCUCUCUCUCUCUCUCUCUCUCUCACGGCAUUGGCUACCAACACACACGGCUCUGGCCACCUGGUUCUAUCGUACCGUAGAGAAAGCUCCGACUUUCUCUGUUAUUUUUGUAUCUUCCGAAAGAUCAUCUAACUGACUUAGGCAUCGGAGGGCCUUUGUUAACCACCCCCCCCUCCCCCCCCGGGCGGGUGUGGUCUAUUUACUCCAACAUUUUUCAUAGGGAUCGAGGGAAAAAGAAGAAGGAAGUUCUAGGGUCAAAGAAUUUACGUGUGAUUAUUCGCUGUGCAGAAUUUUAGUCAAACAGUGGCCGCUAAAAAACUCUCUCUCAUGGAAACAUGUGUAGGUUCUUUUCAAAAAACAUAUAAGAUCACCAUAAAAUAACAAAAAUUCGUAAAAGGUUUGUAGCUCAAGUAGUUAAGAGCAUUUUACACUGACAUCCUUGGUCCGAGAUUGGAUUCACUGCUCCCCAAAAACUUUGUAAUUAUUUUUUUUUUUUAACACCUUCUUUAUUGUAUUCAACACCCACCGGUACAACAUACCCACACCCGAAUUGCUAAUAGGAGAGCCAACAAAGAUAGACUAAUUUCUUAUUCUUCUUGGUGCUGUUGGACGUACCCAAGAAUUUUUCAACGGAGGUGCAAUUUUUAAAGGCUAAAAGCUUACCCAAAAAAAAAAAAAUUAGACAACCAAAUAUCCUUAUAAUUUAAACAAUACCAAAGUCAUUCAUAAUUCAUAGAAAAAAAUAACAUUAGAAUUAACCUACAAUUGUUACCGACAAGUAUGAUAUUGAUCAUAUGAAUACAGAGAUAGCCAAGUGAAAAAAACUAAAAUAAAAAAUAUAUUAUUAAAAGAAAAACAAAACUGACGAGGCAGUUGCUGAAGAAGAAAAAAAAAUUGAACAGAUUUCAUAUUUUUUUUCUCUCUAGUUUAACGAUGAAUUACAUUGGAACUUACUUUGAAAGCUUGAUCGAUCCAGAAUUUUCUUUUUUGGCACAAAAUUUGAUCGAUGAAUAAGUUUUUAUAAAGACUUGGAAUUCUCUCAACAAAAAAAAAAAAAAAAAGACUUUGAGAAGCUGGAAAUGCCCCUCUUCUACUGCCCACCAGCUGUUCGAUUAUUUGCUCCAAAGAAGCUCCAGGCAGCGGCUCUUUGCGCAGGCUGCAGCGCGCAAGGCUGUUUGGGUUCUUUUUUUUUUAAGUGAUAUGUCCAAAACGCAUAGUUUUGGUCCAAGUGAAACCAAAAUAAAAAAAAUAAAAAGAAAUAAAAAGAAAGGACCACCACUACCCACACCGGCCUACUCCCCAACCACAUCCCUUUUUUCUCAAUCCUCUUUUGCCUUCAUCAUCCAUUAGCUUUUCUCUUUGUGCUUUUUUCAUUAUCAUUGACUAUCUCUCACUCUCUUAAAUUGGUAUAAGUAAAUUCCAUUACAUUCAUUCAACAACGACACCCAGAAAGGAUCUUUCUUCCUCUCUGUAUUCUUUUAUUCAUUUGGUGGAAACCCAUUUGUUUUAGAGGCAAAAGAAGGGUUGUGAAGUGGACAUAAGCCAUGGCAGCUCUAAAACCAGAAGAGAUAAGCCAUCCACCAAUGGACCAACCCUCCACAAUUUGUUUGGAAAAUUAAUUUCUCUCUCAAAUUUCAAAGUUAUUUCUCUUUAUGCUUUAAUUAACUAGGAUGGAUUAUUGGGUUUUGGUUAAUUGAUUGAGUUUUUGUUUUGGUUAUUUUGUAUUGAUUUUUUUGAAUUUAUUUAUUUGUAUAUAUUUUUAGUUUGUAAUUAAUUAAUAAAGAUUGUUGUGGUUUGAUUAAAUGAUACAUAUUUCAAUGUUGUGUUUAUUUGUAUAUAAUUAACAUGGUGAAUUGGUUAAUGUGAUUAAUAUAGUGUUUUUAGCCUUUUUAAAUAUCGUUUUAGACUUUGAAAUAUUGUCCCUUCUUUGAAAAAUUUCUAAGUUUGCCGCUGGUGGUGGGCAUGUAAAUCUGAUGUUUCAUGAAGACUUUUUUUUCAUAGCUAAGAUGUUUUGUAAGACUUGGGGAUGGAGUUCUCUCGAAAAAUAAAAAAUAAAAAAAAUGGUGGAAACACAAAAAAUCUCUCCAAACAUCAUAUCUUUUAAUAGCAGCAGGAGAGGUUUACUUUCCUCUCUUCCGUGUACAAUAAGACACCAUUUUUCCGCUGACACUGGAUAGUUUCUUCUCGCUUUACCAACGUAAGCCUGUUAAGGCAUACAUCGAAUUGAAUAAAAGUAAUGCUAAAUUGGUAAUUGAUACUUGAGUUGUCAAAGAGAUCCCUGGUAAGGUCAUCAUAAGCCAAAAUUUCAAAUAUCAUUGCUCUUUUGAGUUUUUUUUUUUCCCCUUGAUGACCAUAUAUAUAACAGUGUGAGUGCAUAACCUAUAAUCAAUUUCAAUCGUCGGUUGUUUAUGAAUACUAAUUUAAAAUAAGAAAGAAGCUUUCAUUCAAUAAGGAACUGAAAUACAACAUUACAGAAAUACUGGAACUCAACACACUGCAUAAAUGUCGCCUCAUUAAAACCUUACCUUCAAAAAAAUUCAAGAAGAGAAAAAUCUGGUGAAGGAAAAAGAGUACCACACUUGCUCAAAAAAAAAUAAAGCAAACUAGUCAUUAUUUCAUCGACACCUCUUUAUUUCUUUAUAUAUUGGAGGGUCGUGUACUUGAUAUUCAUUUGGAGAACAUCAAUCACAGGCUUUCUUGUUUGGUCUCAUACUUGAAGUUGUAGGAAUUGACGCCACUGUAAACGCCAUCGUCCAUGGUGUGGGUAACCUGUUUGCCGUUGGUAAGCAUAUCCCGCUGAGUGUAGGAGAAUGGAACAUCGCAUGAGCCCCUAGUCGCCAUCAGACUUACCUUCACCACAGACAUUGGGGGCACAGCAACCUUGUACACAGUCUCUGCUACACUUUCAGAGGUGUCGGUUUCCCCCCACUGGAUUUGUGUCCCAAAUGCAGCGGAUAUUUCAAUCUCUCCUUUUGCAAUCAAAGGAACUCCAGUUUCAACAUUAGUCUUGAGGCCCAUCUUCAUUGAAACGCUAGAAUUCCAAGUAGUGCUUCGGGUGUCUUUGUACGAGAGCUUCAAGUCUAUUGUGUUUUGUUCUCGAGUUUGGUUAACCGCGUCUCCGUUGGCCAUGGUGACAACUCUUUGGCUAUAGAUCCUGGAGUCAAGGAGGCGAAAGUUGAUGUUGUAUAUGCUCCUAGACACAACAAGCUCUUCCAGCUCCAUGCACGCCUCUUUGAUGAUACUAGGGUCGCCAGCAUUGAGACAGGAAUCAAACCCAUCCGUGGUCAGUCUAACGCAGAAAUUAUCGUUGCCCAAGUUGCGGAGAGCAACCUUGUUAUUGUCAAGCUUAAUAGGCCAAAACAACAUGUCCUUGUUGAUUUCGUUACCAUCAAGAUUGGAGUCGGCCCAGAUCCAAUUAGGGCUGCGCCUCCAGAACCUUCCAGAGAGAUUGGAUUUGAUCCGAACACUCCCAUCCCCAUUAGAGAACACCUCGUUCCCCACACUGGAUUGUCCAAUGUCAUUGGAUGAGAAUUGCAAGAAAGGGUUGCCAUUAAACAUGCUGGCGCUCAGGUAUUUCCCAUUGUCACCCUUGAAGGCGACGUGCUUGGGCAAUACCAACACCGUUUCCCAAUCAACGAUUAAGCAGGCGUCGCACAGCUCCGUGUUAGGAUUCUCAGAUCCUGCGUACAAGCACGAGUCUUGUGGCGGGUCUACCCUCCAUAAGCAUGCAUAGUGCCCGAGCUGGACGUGUCGAAAUCGGACCCCUUGAGCAGGAUCCUUAUCGUCUACAUAGACGGGCUCGAACAAGGUGCAAGACCAUUUGGAUUGGUCUUCCUCGGGUUCAUUCGCGCCAGCAACAAUCCAAUAGUGGUUGACCGACCACCUGACCCAGUAUUUAUUGUUGUAGCUGCAUCUUAUGUGCACCAGUCCCUUCCCGCCCUUUGCCAUCUCCACAUGGAACAUUGCGUACGGACUAACGAGCUCUUCUCCGGAGAACUUGAGAAACCCAUGAAUCUCCCCAUCAUCCUUUACGUAGCUCAAGUAUUUGGCGUUGUACCUUGAUUUCAACACCAUACACCUUGGCAAUGUGUCCACCAUUUUCUCUUAAUUAAUUCUAGAAACAAAUUAAUGCCAAAUCUCACUCUGUAGCUAUAUAGUAUGUAUAGCUACUCUCGGUCAGUCCCCACUCUAAGUGAAGUGAACAUGCUAGCGAUAUUUAUAGUGGAUAAGGGUGGGAGAUGAUCAUCUUCAUGAAAGAAUUUGAAAAAGAAUGGAAAGGUUGUGCAGAGAGUGGUUUUUUUUUUUAUAAUAAUUUUUUUUAAUGGGGAAAUGAUAUGUUAUUAAGAAACUUGAGAAACAAGCAAAUCCUGAAGCAUAUCAUGAGGGAACACAACACAAAAAACAUCAUGAGAAGAUCCCAGGCCUAAAGAAUGAUGGGAUAUAUUAUAUAUAGGAAUGAUAUUAUUGGUGGUGGGUACGGUUAUGUGGGAGUAGUAAUAGGUAAGAGAAGAAACUUGUUCUCUUGUGAUAAUCAAACGACAGAAAGUAGUGGGACAGUAUCUUUGAUAAUGAUGAUGUUUCUUACUCAAGGUCUAAAAUAUCGGGAGUUUUGGAAAUAUCGGUGGUCCAAAAAUACGGAUAUAUCGAUGGAAAUAUCGAGGAAAUAUUGAUAUCGAUAAAAAUUGAAUAAAAAUCACGAAAAUUGUGAGAAAAACUUGAAAAUUUUUAUUGAAACUUUAGAGGAUGUUUACUUAGUCAAUUGUCUAUUAAUAUAUUACACUUGAUACAUAUGAUAAAAUAUAUGAGCUUAACCCAAAAAACAAAGAUAAAAUGUAUGAGUAACUUAGUACCACAUAGAAAGAAUUCCUAUUAAAAUUCAAACUUAGUAUCACAUAUGAUGAACAGUAUUAAAACUCGAAGUGAAUAAUAAUAAAAUUCCAUAAUAUAAAACAACAAUAAAAUACUACUCCAUUAUAAAAUAAUAAAUAACAUUAAAUAUAUGCUUAAAUUUAUUCUUAGGGAAUUUUUUUAAUAUGGAAAUUUAUCUUAGAUAAUAUUAGCUUGCAGACAUUUUUAAAGACCUUAUAAAUAUUACAAACUGAAGAUAUAGACACAAACUCAGCCGCAACGAGUUGGAUAAGGCGCUGUGGUUGAUUGAGAAAGGGAGGGGUUCGAAUCCCUCUGUGCGCAAGAGCGAGACUUUUCAACAUUUUCCAUGUAUUUUUCAGCUUCAUAUGGCGAGAUUAUCCAUAUUAUCAAUAAUAUCGCGAUAUAUUGCCCAAAUAAUGCAUGAAAAAUGUUGAAAUUAUCGUCCACGAUAAUAUCGACAAAAAUAUCGAUAUAUUGAUGAUAAUUAAGUGGAUAUGUACAAAAUAAUUUCAUUUACGCCAAAUAAUUUAAGUCUAGAUUAUUUUUAACAUCCCUCCUUAAGCUAGACUUCAUUUACGCCAAAUAAUUUCCUCAUCUUGAUGAGCAAGUCCUUCUUCAAUGGUUUGGUGAACCAAUAUGCCAGCUGGUCCCUCAACUUCUUUGUCUUUGAUUAGCUCUCUAAUAAAAUGGAACUUGAUCUUGAUAUGCUUACUCUUGCUGUGAAACAUUGGAUUUUUGGAAAGACAUAUAGCUGAUUUGUUGUCGCAGAACAGUUUUGUAGGGCCUUCUUGAACUUGACCCAUCUCUUCUAAAAUACUUUUCAGCCACCUAGCUUGACAACCUGAUGAUGCAAGAGCAACAUACUUAGACUCUGUUGUUGAAAGUGCCACUAUAGGUUGCUUUGUGGAGGACCAUGAAAUUGCAAUUGACCCGAUGCUACAGACAUAACAAGAUGUGCUUUUGCAAGUAUCAACAUCUACACCCAAGUCACUAUCACUGUAGCCAGUCAAAUUUAGAUUCUGGACAGUGUAAUAAUGCAAACCAUAAUUGACAGUUCCAACCACAUAUCUUAGGAUUCUCUUUCCAAGCUCCCAAUGAACAUCUUUUGGUGAUUCUAUGAGGAAAAAGAAAACAUACAUUGCACUUACUGUAAUGGGAAUCGUCAUAUAGACACCACAUGUUUUCCCAAGAAUGGGUUUCCGGAGUGGUUCCUUGAACGCCAGAAGCAAUGAAAAGUGACACCAAAAAAAAAAAAUUGCCGAUAGCAGUGUAGCUAUUGUAGCUGUUGUAGCUGUUGACGACCAGUCUUCCGUCAGCCAGAUGGCCGGCGAUACCUCGGGUGUCUCAACCUCGCCCACAUCAGUGUAGCUACUGUUUUCUCUCUGUUAUCCAUUCCAGAGCCUGUUGAUUGCGAAUGUAACCAAGGAAAAGCUUUGGUGCUUUUCGACUAAGGAGAUACAUGUUGGAUUAUCGAUUCGAGUGUCACUCAUCUUAUGAUGUAUGAUAAAUCCUUUUUUCAUUCUAUGACUACUCCUACCAAAACAAGUGUGAUUACUGCUAACAACGAAUCUAACUCAGUCACUGGGGUUGGUUCCAUCACUCUUAUUCAUACCCUCUCUUUACAUAAAACUUCGCUUGUUCCUACUUUGUCCUAUAAUUUAUUAUCUGUUGGGCAAGUUACUGAAUAGUUAGAUUUCUGCGUGCUCAUGUGCUCUUCCUUUUGUUUGCUUCAGGAUGUUCAGACCAGGGAGAUCAUUGGACGUGGUAUUAAGAGAGAGGGGGGGCCUUUACUAUGACAUUGCACUGGGUCGUGUUCAUCAGGUUCGGGGCGUUGUCAGUGAGAAGCAUAAGAAGAUUUGGUUAUGGCAUCGGCUGUUGGGUCAUGUUUCCUUUGGUUAUUUGCAAUAUUUGAUUCCAUCUCUAUUUAGUGGAGUAAAAUUUUUCGAUUUUCAGUGUGAGACUUAUAUUCUUUCAAAAAGUCACCGAACUUUUUAUCCACCAAGUUGGAAUAAAAGCACAUCUCCUUUUGAUUUAAUCCAUUCAAAUGUUUGCGGUCAAUCUCCGAUUACUACUGUCUUUGGUGUUCGGUGGAAUGUAAUCUUCAUUGAUGAUUGUACUCGAUUAACUAGGCUUUAUGUUAUGAAGCAUAAAAGUGAAGUUGGUUCUUUAUUAAAAAAAUUUUACCAGAUGAUUCAAACUUAAUAUUUUUGUUCGUUCAGAUUUAACCACACACUCACAAUCUUUUUCACUGAAAAAGGCCUUUUCCAUGAAACUACGUGUUGCAGACUGCAUAACAGAAUGGUGUGGAUAGCGCAAAAAUCACCAUAUUCUUGAGACUACCCAAGCUUUCCUUAUUGGGGGCGUGUUCCCCAUAUACCCUUUGACGACAACUAUUCAGUAUGCUAUCUACCUUCUUAAUCGCACGCCUUCAUGGGUUUUGAGUUUUAAAACACCACUUCAGACAUUAGCAGCUCAUGUUCUUGUUUGUUCCCAUCUUAAUCUCACCCUGUGCAAUUUUGUUGUGUGGUGUAUAUCCAUCUCAAUAAGUUUCACCGGACCAAGUUGGAUCUGUCUGCCCCCCGUUGUGUCUUUGUGUGUUUUGCACCUCAAUAAAAGGGUUACCGGUGUUAUCAUCCCUCCAGUCGCCGUUGUUAUGUUACCAUGAAUGUUACAUUUGUGGAGAAUGAGAUGUUUUUCUGUUCGACAUACCUAAUCAUGUCAGAAGCACAUAAUUGGAAUGAGAUAGAAAUACGGGGGAAAAAAGCACAAAAUAGUGCGCUAGAACCUGAGCUGCUCAGCUCAACCGAGCUAAGCAGCUGUUGGAAGUAGGCUGUCGACCAGUCCACCCAAGCCGAACAGUCAAGCAGAGCUGAACAACCAAGCCAAACUAGAUAGCAGGGACCCCCCACUCUUGAACAUACCUGCUCAUGCUUCACUAAUCAUCCCUAAGCUAAGUCUUUCAGAUCCCAGUGCUUCUCAAAAUAUUGUUGAAAUUGUGAAAAAAAAUUACCUGCAUAAACAAACAGGGGAAUACCACCAGACAUGUUCUCACUAGAGGCAAGGUGAAAUAUGCCAUUGUUGAUUAUAUCUCCACACAUAGAUUUUCUCCUCAAGCUAAAGCAUUUAUCAAUUAGAUGGAAGGAAUUAAAAUUCCUAAUAGAUUGGAAGAAGCUUUGUAAGACCCAAAAUGGGUGGAAGCAAUGAAUGUGGAGAUGGAGGCCUUACAGAAUAAUGGAACAUGGAAGAUAGUUUUACAACCUGAAGGAAAGAAACUUGUUGGAUGUCGAUGAGUGUACACAGUUAAGCACAAAGUUGAUGGCACAAUAGACAGAUAUAAAGCAAUAGUUGUGGCCAAAGAGUAUACGCAGACAUAUGGAGUUGAUUAUCAGGGUACAUUUGCACUGGUGGCAAAAAUGAAUUUGGUGCAAGUUCUAUUGUUCCUAACAGCUAAUUUAGACCCUUGUCGUUCUGUUCUCGUGGUUUUGAACUGGUUCUUUAAUAUUUAGUCAUGCCUCUGAACUCAACUUUGACACUAGAUAAAGUUACUACAUUCUAUUUGUUGCUCCUCCAUGUCACCAAAUUACCUCCCACAAAUGUGAAGUAACCCGAUAUGGAUUUUCUAUCUGUUACACUACCUACCUAAUCUGCAUCUAAAUAAUCGUAAAUAUUUAGAUGACCAUUCUUUGAGAACAUAAGUCCUUUUCCAGGUGCAGACUUUAAAUAUCUAAGAAUCCGAAGAACUGCAUUCAUGUGAUAUUCACUCGAAGAAUGCAUAAAGUGACUGAUGAUGCUCACUGCAUAAGCAAUGUUUGGCUGAGUAUGAGACAAGUAGAUCAAUCUUCCCACUAACAUUUGGUAUGUUUCUUUGUUAGUUGGAACUUGAUCCGUGUAUUCUCCAAGCUGAUGAUUCUGAAUAAUAGGAGUGUCCACAGGUGAGCAAUCUAGCAUUCUUAUGUGUGUCAACAAGUCAAAGACAUAUUUUCUUUGAGAGAGAAAUAUGCCUUGUUGUGAUCGGGUCACCUCAAUCCCCAAGAAAUAUUUGAGUCCACCUAGAUUCUUCAUCUCAAAUUCAGUAGCCAAAUAGUCUUGUAGCUGAGAUAUUUUAUGUUUAUCAUUCCUAGUAAUAAUCAUGUCGUCAACAUAGAUUAUUAAAGCUGUUACCUUCCCUUUCUGAUGUUUCAAGAACAGAUUAUGAUAUGAGUUACUCUGUCUAAAACCAUUGUUCUUCAUUGCCAUGGUGAAUUGCCCAAACCAUGCAACCUAUAAGAUCCCACAUCAACCAAACGGAGAGGGGGUGAUGUGCCUUGUAUGUGCACACCCGCAUCCAUCUAGCACGAGGCCUUUUGGGAGCUCACUGGCUUCGGAGUCGUAGGAACUCCGAAGUUAAGCGAGUUGGGGGCCAGAGCAAUCCCAAGAUGGGUGACCCACUGGGAAGUUGCUCGUGAGCUCCCAGAAACAAAACCGUGAGGGCCAGAGAGGAGGGGCCCAAAGCGGACAAUAUCGUGCUACGGCGGAGCCGAUCCCGGGGUGUGACAAUUUGGUAUCAGAGCCACUCUGCCGUGUGGUGCGAGUGUGCCGACGAGGACGUCGGGCCCUUAAGGGGGGUGGAUUGUAAGAUCCCACAUCAACCAAACGGAGAGGGGGUGAUGUGCCUUGUAUGUGCACACCCGCAUCCAUCUAGCACGAGGCCUUUUGGGAGCUCACUGGCUUCGGAGUCGUAGGAACUCCGAAGUUAAGCGAGUUGGGGGCCAGAGCAAUCCCAAGAUGGGUGACCCACUGGGAAGUUGCUCGUGAGCUCCCAGAAACAAAACCGUGAGGGCCAGAGAGGAGGGGCCCAAAGCGGACAAUAUCGUGCUACGGCGGAGCCGAUCCCGGGGUGUGACACAACCGGUGACUAUUUCAGUCAAUACAACACCUUUCGUAAUUUACAUACUGUUCCAGUCUGAGUAGUAUUAUAUCCAGGAGAAAUGUCCAUAUACACAUUUUCUGUGAGUUCUCUAUGUUGGAAAGCAUUCUUUACAUCAAUCUAAUGUAGUGGCCAAUCCAAAUUAGCUACGAAGGACAGUAAGACUCUGACUGUGUUCAAUUUUGCAACUGGUGUAAAGGUUGCUUCAUAAUCUACACCACAAGUCUGUGUAUACCCUUUCGCCACAAGUCUUCCCUUGUAUCGCUCUAUAGGUCCAUCAAUGUUGUGUUUUAUGGUAAACACCCAUUUACAUCCGACAGUCUUUUUUCCUUGUGGUAAAGUUUACAGUGUCCAAGUCUUAUUCUUCUCAAGAGCUUUCAUAUCUUCUUUUAUAGCUUAAACCCACUUAGGAUCUUUAAAUGUUUCAGCAAAAUUGGUUGGGAUAUGAAUAGCAGACAUCUAAGGCACAAAGGCCUUGAGUGGUUGAUACAGCUUCUCAGUGGACACAUGAGUCGCAAUUGGAUACUUUGAUGUCUUGCCAAUAUUAGGUGAAUAAUGGUUUGGUGUCUUUCCACGAUUCUGCCUAAAAGGUAUUUGGUAUCCAAUAGAUCUAUCCUCUAAAUUCAUAAGUGUAAUAUGAGUAGUUACCUCAAGGAUAUUCUAAGGAGAUUGGUCUGGUGGUACCGUUGAGUUAGAAGAGGGGUCUUCAUCUCGUUGUUCUGGAUUAUCUGUGGGUGUAGGACUCAGAUCAAAAACAUCUUCGCAAGGGUCGAGUGGGUCUAGCGAUUGAUCGCUUUUCGACAGAGAGCAAUCUAGUGCUCUAGACUCGGGACGAUCAAUCGUUUCUAUACAUAGGCGAAUUUCUUCGUUUUCCAUGUUGCUCCAAUUUUGCUCUUCACUUCGUAUCUCCCCUUGAAGUGUAGAAUUGGAUGAUAGGUUAUGGAAGAACAUCUCAAAUUCUAGAAAGUCACAUCCAAAGUGACAUAGGUACGUCGAGUAGGAGGGUUAUAACAACAAUAGCCUUUCUGAUGAGUAGCAUAACCCACAAAAACACAACGAAUCCCACAUGGAUCAAGUUUGCUACAUUGAUUUUUGUGGAAAUGAACGAAGGCCACACAUCAAAAGAUUCGAGGUAUGAGUACCAAAACAUAGGGUAGGGGCCCUUGUUGCGCAAGCACUUGUAAGGGAGUUUUAAAGGUCAAUAUACUAGAAGGCAUGCAGUUGAUCAAGUGAACUGCGAUGAAUAGCAUCAUCCUAAACAUGGCGAGAAAUAUGAGUGUCAAUCAGAAGUGCUUGGGCGGUUUCAAGAAAAUGUUGAUUCUUUUGAUCAACAACACCAUUUUGUUGUGGUGUCUGAAGACAAGUCGUCUCAAGGAUAAUUCUAUGUUGUUGGAAGUAACCCUGAAAGUCAUGAUUGGCAAAUUCUCCACCAUUAUCUAAGCGAAGGAUAUGUAUAAGAGCAUUGAACUAGGUUUUCAUCUGUUCACAGAAGAAUUGAAAAAGGGAAAACACUUCGUUUUUAUUCUUUAGCAAAUAAAGCCAUGUCAUCCGUGUACAAUUAUCUAUAAAUGUAACAAACCACCGAACGCUAGAAUGAGCAGUGAUAGGUGAAGGCCCCCAGACAUCAGAGUGAAUUACUGUAAACAGAGUGGUACACUUGUUUGUACUCAACAAAUAGGGCACAUGGUGACUCUUGGCUAAAAUACAAGUAUCACAUGUGAAGUCGGAGUCCUUGAAACCUAAGAAUAAAUCUGGUGUAAGAUGUUUCAUAUGACUAAAAGACGGAUAUCCCAAUCAACGGUGCCACAACCAUAUUUGCUUUUGACUCUUGCCACAACCAUAAAUCAUUUAAUUUAUUUAAUUAUGAAAUUACAAUUUUACCCUCAGGUGGAGGGUUAUAUUUAGGGGUGGGCAUGAUUCGGUUUGGACCGGUUUUAUUUAUCCGGUACUAUUUAUCCAGUUCGGUUUUAACAACAAAAUUUAUAAAACCGUCCAGUUUCGGUUGAACCGGAUUCGGUCCGGUUCAAUUUUGAACCAGGUUAUUAUUAUCAUCUUUUCAAAUUAAUUUUUUUAUAUACAAAUUUCAACUUAAAAUUAUUAUUUUUUUGGCUUGAAAAUUAACAAAUUAUUCAAUUUCAUACAAAAAGAAAUAUUAAGGCUAGAAAAGAGAGAUGUUUUGAAAUUGAACUUGGGUUGCCCACCAAUAGUUAUUUUGGUUAAUUUUUAGCCCGGUAGAAUUUUGGGGAACUAGAGGGCCCCAUGACGUAGAUUGCGUCAAUACGAGCUUGUAAGACACGUAGUGGGCUUAAAUCGGAGUUGUAAUGAAAAAGUUACGAUCAACGGAAGCCUAGUGAAAUAAUCGUAAAUAUUUCAAAGUUUGUUUUUAAAAAUCAGAUUUCUCUCCUUCUCUCUCCCUCUCUCCUGAAACAACCCUCUUCCUCUCUCUUGGUAGCGCCUAUUUUUGGCCAAUUUUCAGCCCCAUCCGGCAGUGGUUGAUGGCGCAUUCUUCACGGAAGUUGUUCUCCUCCUCCUCCUCUACAAAACCCAUUUGAUAACCACCCCUGAAAACUCAGAUUUCUCUAGAUUUUGGAUUCAAAAAUCCAUAAACAACUGUCAAUUUCGUCGGAUUUUACGUAAACUUUCCGUCGUCGAUUCCAAUGAUUCUGGCUACCAAAUUUAUCGAUUCAGGUAUGCUUUCUCAUCUUUCCAACGUGAUCUACCUCAUGGUUGGGUUGGUCAGGAUUGAUUUUGAAGUUUUGAAACUCGUUUUGCAACUCAAAGUUUUGGCCGGUUUUCAACUCGAGUGUCUGGCAAGUUUGGGUCACUUUUUGGCAAUGGUCGAAGGACAAAGUUGCUCCACUCAUUGUCCUGAUCACAUGGGUAUAGGUAUUGUUAGGUGAUUUGAGAAAUUUCCGAUUGCCGAAAUUUUCUCAAGCCACCCACACGAUGUCGGCGUGUGUGCAGGGGCAUGGGCCACAUGUGGGUGACCCAUUUGGUCCUAAAAUGAUCCACAUGUCAUCCCGCGCAUGACGGUAUGCUCGGAUUUGAAUUUGGUUAUUAUUUGGUGGUUGAUCAGAUUUACGCAUAUUAGGUGUUAUCCAGGUUUGAUAUGACCGGACCAUUGGAUCGACUCCAUUUUCAAAUAUGUUGAUCUAGGUAUCUCUAGGAUUAUGUGGAAUUCACGGAUCGUGAAUCGGAGUCUCGGAUACCCCGAUUCAAUGACUUAGAGUUUGCGUUAAACGGUAACCUCCGAUUGUGCGAUCGUGAGCUAACCGGCCGUUCGAUUCGGACCAAACUUGCAUGACAUGUAUAAUAAACCUUUUUGAACCCAUAGGAACUUUUGGAUCGAAAAUCAGAGGUUGUGAGCCUCGUGGGCCCAGUUGACUAAAUUUGAAAAGUUUGACUACUCGAUUGACCCAGUGUCUCCCGAGGCUAUUCUACCAUUUGAAACACUUAGUUGGACCUUAAGAACUUCUCGUUCGUCGUACACACACUUGAAUCCCGGGAAAGUACUAAGAUAGUUGGCUCAACUCAAUCAAACUAAUUUGCAACUUAUCGUUGAAAAGCAAAUUACUUUAAUGUUGUUAAAUGUGGUCAUUGCAUGCUUGCCCCAAGUACAAUAUAUAUAUAUAUAUAUAUAUAUAUAUAUACAGAGAGCUUCCAUUGAGGGAUCCCUCAAAUAAGCUUAUUUGAGGGACACCACUUGUAGGCCCCACUCCGGAUUGUAUUUCACUAAUCCAAACCGUCUAUUUUGUAGAUACUCAUUCAAAGAUCAUCUCUACAAAAAAUCACUUGAAUCCGAUAUCAUGUGACCACUCAAUUGAGUUAUUGAAAUUUUAGUACUUUUCUUAAAGCACUAUGUUCAUUGAUUUUGUAAGACACAAUUGGACGUCGAAACGGUUUCCGAUUUGUCUAAUUUUUUGUAAGGAUGAUCUAUGAAUGAAUACCUAAAAAAUAGAUGGUUUGGAUUAUUGGGAAAAGAAUUGUAGGGUACCCUAAAGGGCGCCCCUCAAAUAAAAUUAUUUGAGGGAUCCCUCAAUAGAAGGGGACUGUAUAUAUAUAUAUAUAUAUAUAGAUCACAUGCCUUCGACUAAUGAUAGGAGGCUUUGCGGAGCCUGCAUCAAUAAAUUUAUGAUUAUAUUUUUUUAUUUAUGGAGUUUGGGCUAAGUUAAACAUGUAUUUUCUGUAUCAUUAUUUUUGAGUGGGCCGGGACUAAUUAAUAUGCAUCAUCUACAAGUUACUCAUCUUUUGUUUUGCCAUCAUAGAUCGAUACAAAGAUGAUUGAAUGAGAUCUACAUGUCGAUGGUUAGUUUAGGCAUGAACGGUUGUGGUUUAGAGUUUUUAAUAUACAAUAUAACAAGUUGUUUUACAGUCGGUUGUUGUUCAUACAUGUAUGAGUGGUUUAUGACAGUUGACGCAUAUGAAAUCUAAUUUCGCCAACAAUAAUCAUGUGAGUAAGAUGUGAUAAGACGCAACAUGAUAUUAGUGAUAGUUUUAAAUUAAUAUGAAACCCAAGAUAUGUUGAUGUUGUCAAAUGCAUAUGAGAUUUCUAGGGAUUUCUUUUGUUAUUAUUAUUAUCAUUGUUGUUAUCAUUAAUAUUAUUGUUAUCGCUUUAUUUUUAUGAUUGUUAUUAUAAUUCAUUCAUGGCUUGAUAGAGGGGUUUGGUGUCAGUAAGGAUCUAAUGAAAUGUUGAUUACAUAUUUACACCCAAAUAUAUGUCUAUGUGUUUAGGUUGUGGGUACGUUGGAUAUCGAUGCAGGGGUUAAUAAGAGUGUCUUGGAAAGUGAAUAAUAAGGGUUAUGAAUUCUAGUUUGCUAAUUGGUAUGUUAUUUGUACGUGGAAAUUGAGUUGAGAACGGAUGUUGAAAGUUAUGGGUGAUCUAAUUCAAACUAGUGAAUUUUUAGGAUGGAAUACGUGGUUAUGGAAAUUUCGGGAAUACUUAUUACUAUUACUAUUAUUAGUGGUGCUGUCAAUAUUAUUUAUAAGGGGUUAUGGUGAUUUUGGUUAUGUUAUGGAUUUUGGUUUUGGUACAUUAGUUUAUGUGGUUAUCGGACUUUGAAUUGCAAUAUCUUUGAGAAUGUCGGAGUUAGUAUGUAUGUAUGGAUGGGCUAUGGUUUUGGGAAACUGAAUAUGGUGUUUUGGAUUUUAUUAUCUUGUCUUGUGGGAUUUUCAGAGGUUGUAUAUUUCCUAAGUAUAUGAAGAGUAAUUUGAAUACUAAUUAAAUCGAAUGGGUAUAGUUAGUCUUGAUGUUUUUCUUAAAUAUGGUUUUCAAAAAGGAAGCGUGGAUAUUAUUUUAAUAUAUAUAUUUUUGUUAUAUGGAAACGAUUUGUUUUGGAAUUUGGAUUUUUAGAGUAUUAUCUUUAUUAUAUAUAUUAGUUUAAGAAAGUGGAUUUUGGAUCUUGACGAUGGCACACCAUCUCAUGUACCCCUCCCCAUUGGAUACUGAUUCUGGAAUUGAUGGAUACUGGACACAUGGAAACUGUGAUUAUGGGUUGGAUACGUCGAAACCCGGACACCCUUGACGAGGUGUUAUCGUAGAUCCUUAGUGGGGUAGUCUGUGCGCGUAGGAUUUGUCAUAGGCGCACGAGUAUUAAGGAUUCUGUUGUGCGUGCUGGUGAGCUCAGUCCCCGGUUGGAUGGCUUGUUCCAGGUCACAUGGCUGUUGAAAAUUCCUCCAUGUGGUUCAGCCAAACGAUCCCUGGUUGUUGAAAAUUCCUCCAUAUUAAAUAUAUAUAUAUGUGUGUGUGUGUGGAUUCGUUUUCAGGUCGAGCUUCUUGAACUUGUACUUCGUGAGUACUGUACACAGGUAUGAACGUCUGAAUUAUAGUUUAGAAAAUGUUGUUCAGCAACAUACGCCUUGGAUAGGGUAUGGUUGUGGGGAAAGAAUUGAUCAAAGGAAAGGAACUUAUGAAGUGUUUAGUGGUUGUUUUGUCCAACUUGAUGUUGAAAAUUGAAUCAUUGGCAUUACUUUAAAUAAUCGUAUAUUAUCUUAAUCUUAGUUAUUGAUUUAAGAACUACAUGUGGCUUGAUCCCUCACAAAGUGGUACAUAGGUAGUCUAGGGUUUAACCUAGGUGCAGCCACAAAAUAAACAGUUUGAGCUGUGCUUGUAUUGUACUAAGUGGGGAAGUGAAUUUUGGAAGAAGAAAGGUCUUCUCUAAUUCUGUUACGUUUAGUAUUUUCAGAUGUAUGGAUUUACAAAUGAGUUCAAAAACUAGAACGUUUUAGAAAAUGUUUGGUUAUGAGGCUGGAGGCCUGUUUGUUUAUUGUGUGUGUGUAUAACAUACUUUGUGCACGCCAAAGUUUGGAGAUUAUUAAACUACAUUUUUGACAAGUUGAAAAAUUUGGUAACGUUCGUAUUUCAAGGGAGAUUUCGUCGAAAUUUCGGAAGAAAGUCUCAUCCCUCUGUAGUAAGUGGGCCCGACAUCGGUUUGAUUCAGAAAAACCAUAGGAUCAGUCUCAGAUUCCGAGGAAUUCAGGGCGGGUCCUGUCAACAACGAAACCUGAAUGGGCAAGUAAAUAACCAAUUCCUAUUUCUAUUUACAGUAGAAUAUCAAGAAUUAAAGUAAUUCUUAAUGUGUGAGAAAAUUAAGUCAAUGAUCCACAAGUCACACUAACACACAUCUUCCUUUACGUAGCUCAAGUAUUUGGUGUUGUACCUUGAUUUCAACACCAUAUACCUUGGCAAUGUGUCCACCAUUUUCUCUUAAUUAAUUCUAGCUAGAAAGAAAUUAAUGUCAAAUCUCACUCUAUACACACUCUGUAGCUAUGUAGUAUGUAUAGCUACUCUCGGUCAGUCCCCACUCUAAGUGAAAUGAACAUGCCAGCUAUAUUUAUAGUGGAUAAGGGUGGGAGAUGAUCAUCUUCAUGAAAGAAUUUGAAAAGGAAUGGAAAGGUUGUGUAGAGAAUGGUUUUUGUUUUUUUUUUCACAAAUUUUUUAUAAGGAGAAAUGAAAUGAUAUGUUAUUUAAAAACUUGAGAAACAAGCAAAUCCUGAAGCAUAUCAUGAGAGUCCACAACCCAAACAACAUCAUGAGAAGAUCCCAGGCCUAAAGAAUAUAUAUAGUACAGGUUGAAUGCUUUAAAGGAAAGGACCACUAGACAAAAGCCUAGAGACGUGGAACUGGAUAAGGAUUAAGGAUUGGGAAUAAUCUUUGUCUUAUGCUGAUGUUUUACUUUGUACCGUUGAAAUGUCCGUUUUUAUAAAAAAUUUCAAAUAUAGCAGAAAACUCAAGUAAAUAGACACAAAUGCCCUCAAAUUUAAAACCCACAUAAACCUAAAAAGGAAAACCCUAUUAGAUUGGGAAUCUUUGUACGUAGAGUUUGUUAGUAGACGUAUUGCUGCCAUAGUCAAACGGUAUGUGCAGUUCUUCCUUGGUUCUUCGUUCAAUUUAUUCUUCGUUUCUUCGUUUAUUCUUCAUACUAUAUUUAUAAAAUUUCAAUUCUGGUUUUGCUGACUUAAUGUCCAUGGGUGCGACAUUUCUGAUGAUGGAGAUUGUAAUUCUCCUGAGCCCCAUCCAAAGUGCUAUCAUUUAAUAUCGUCAAUUCACUUUGAGCCUAAUGACACCUUCUUCCCCUCAAGAACUGUGUUGGAGGGUGAGUUCUAGGAUUCAAUUUUACAUGAGUUCUUGUGUAAUUUAUCUAUGCCAAAAGAUAAGAUUUAUAGAAGGAAACAACACCGAUGCCCUUUCUUGGGUAAGGUAGGAAGCUGCCAAAGAGGAAGCCAAAUAGGGCCUACUUGUGGCCUUCCUAACACCAAUCACCUUGUUCACGGUGUGUGAUGUGAGACAUGUCAUUUGGCAACUUGGCUUAAUAAUUUUCUGACUAGAUAGGCUAUGUUGUGCAUAUCAUUUGCGAGAAAAGUACUGGUAUUUUCUUUGUUUGCUUAUUAGUGGCACCUGCUGCUUGUUUAAGUAAUGUCUUCUUUUCUUCCUUGUUGUUCUCUCUAACUUCCUCCUAUAAUCUGCCAGGUUAGGCCUGCAUGUAGAGGUUGCAGCGCUGCUAGUCAUAGGAAAUAGAUCUGCAGACUGUGAUGUAGAGACAAACCCUUGUUGUCACUAUAGGUUGCAUCGCUGUCAGAUUUGUUGUGAGAGAAAUCAGCUGUGAGAUAAAGCAGUUUGGCGUUUGGUAAACUUUUUGUUAAAAGUGUUGUUGGUACUGAUUCCCGCACAAUGAGAAAAUGAUUCCCGCAUAAUCAUUAAACCCAACGCUCCUUCGAAACUGAUUCUUGCAUAAUAAGAAAAUGAUAGCACCUCAUUAGCUAUUUUUCCUUAUAGCUUUCUCUAUCAUAGCAAUUUUAACAAUAAGUGAUGUUCUCAUAGUUUAGCAAACGGGUAGGGCUUCCCAAAAUUUUAUAAAAAUCACUUAUCACCCCAAAUAAGCAAUGCCAAAUAGGGCACUUAGAUUUAAACUAAGCUUCACCAAAAGCCAUUCCGACCACUCUUAGAUACUCAAGCCGACUCAUAAACUCAGUUGGGAUACCUUUGUAAACACUAAAAUCUUGCGAUAAAUGAGACAAGAGCACGUGUACAAAAAUAAUAUUCGUAUUGAUUUAUCAAGUUUGUAGGUUACAAUCUCUGUGGGUAUAAUUUUACAAAAAUAAAAUAAUUUCCUCUGAUUUGAACUCCAAAAGUGUGUGUGGUUCAAGGGUGCCAAGCACUUGAUCUUGAAUCGGAAUUUGAGACUUCGUUAAGGGCCGUUACAGCUUGAUCUCGAACAUGUCAUGACCAUGAGUAAUGUCACAUGGUGGAUAGUCUUCGACUUUGGCAGUGAAGGAAUUAGCACGUGUUUGUUAGGCUUGGUGAUUCUCCACGAGCUUGAUGAAGAAAUUGAGAGUCUAGAUGUUGCUUUGGGUAGAGAGCUUUUUGGUUUUCCAAAGAGUGUGUGCCUCCACUACUACAAAAAAGCAAAAAGACGACGGUAAAUCACCGUCGUGUAUUCGGUUUUUCAAUGGUCGUGGAAUCCACCGUCAUCUUUUCCCUCAUAAACCACGACGCUAAAUCACCGUCGUUGUUAAAGUAUACAACGUCAUUAACAAAUACAAAACGACGUCUUUGUACGCAAAAAGAUCUAAAAAAGCAGUCGAGGAUGAGAAUAGACGACCAACUCUCUAAAAAAACCGUCGUUAAAAAGGAAAAAUAUGACACAUAUUAACAGAACAAGGCCGCAAGAUAGACAUACAACGACGAAAAUUAAAAUAAGACGCAGUUAAAUAUCAUUUUCACGACAAUAAAAAAUAUGACGUCUUUAAAUACAUUAGAAGACGACGUUAUUGAUACCUACUACGUCGCCUAUAUAAAAACAGCCGUCGUAAAAUAAAUUUUCCACUUCGAUUUUUCUAUAAAAGAUGACGUGGAAAUAGUUGUCAGUGUCAUUAUUUACGACGUAUGUAUUUAUAGAGUAGACGUUGAACAACGAAACAACGUCGGUUACAAAUAUAUGAGAGUCGUAUUACAAAAUUUAUACGUCCUAUUUUCAGAAACAAACAACGACGAUAAAUAUUAGACGUUGUUAAAUAAAACAACGUCGAAAACAAAUAAAAACAGACGUGUUUAGUCUGCUAAAGUUCUAAAAAAUAGUCGAUGAUGAGAAUAGACGACCAACCCAAACAAAUCACCGUCGUUAAAAAGGAAAAAUAUGACACAUAUUAAAAGAACAAGGCCGCAAGAUAGAUAUACAACGACGACAACUAAAACACUACACCGUUAAAUAUAAUUUUUACGACAAGAAAAAAUAUGACGUCUUUAAAUACAUGAGAAGACGACGUUAUUGAAAUCUACUACGUCUCUUAUUUACAAACAACCGUCGUGAAAUAAAUUUUUCACUUCGAUUUUUCUAAAAAAGAUGACGUGGAAAUAGUUGUCAGUUUCAUUAUUUACGACGUAUGUAUUUAUAUAGUUGACGUUGAAAUGCGAAACAAAGUCGGUGGCAUUUAUAUAGUCGACGUUGUAUUUAUAUGUAUUCAUUACUCACGACGCACUUAUUAAUAUAGACGACGUUGAACUUCUAAACAACGUCGGUUCCAAAUAAAUGAAGGCCGUAUUACAGAACAUAUAGACGGCGUUGAUUAUGAUGAGAGCCGUAUUACAAAUAACGCCGUUUAAUUGAUAUUAGACAGCGGUUAUAAUGAAUUACCGUCGGAAUUCAUUUCGUUCCUCUUCGUUUAUAAAAGAACUUGCGACGUGGAAAAUGUAUGAUGACGUCGUAUUUUUUAACGUUCAGAUUAUAUAUCUCGUUUUUUAGACGUCGGUAUUAUGGGAUUGAAGUCGUGUUAUUUUGAAUUACAUGGCGAUUCUUAAUCCUUCCCCGACGUGAUAUCCUGAAUAAUUGCUUCACAAUAGCGUCGUGGUUCUUCAUUGUUACGUUGCUUUAAGACGUCGGUAAAUAUGCUGAAUAACUGGUUCACAAUAACGUCGUGUUUUAUUUGAACGUAGAAAGUGAAGAAAUCACAUUACAAUAUAUUACAAAAUUAAUGUCAUACACUGCCAAUUACAUAAGCAUCAUUCAAUCCGUAUAUCUUCACACCCAUCUCGAAUAUUUUGACCACCUAACUCACCCACCAGUUCAUCAAAUGUGUCAACAUUUGGCAUCCCUCUAGUAAAUGGCUCACACUCAAUUAUCACAUCACCUAAGACUUCAUCACCAAUAACAUCAUUAUAUUCUCUAUUAGGCAUUGAUAACACUACCGACCAACCACGAUGCAUCCGGUCGUCAAUAAAAAAUAUUUGUUUGACUUGAGAAGCCAAAACAAAUUGGUCAUUCCUAUGUCCAAUUUUACUCAAAUCUACAAGGGUAAAUCCAAGUUCGUCGACUACAAGACCAGAACUAUCUAUCCAAUCACACCUAAAGACUGGUAUUGUAAACUUUUGGUAGUCAAGGUCCCAAAUUUCUUGAAUGACACCAUAGAAACCCAUAUUUGAGAGAAUUGGGUUUUUAUCCUUGGCACUAGCAACUUGCAUGGUAUGUGCAAGUAAAUAAACUCCACUAUUUUGAGUUGUCCGCACAUCAUCUUGUGCCUUGAUAUUGAAUUUAAUACCUUUAAUAAGAUAGCUCCUAUAUAAUGGCACUGCCAUGUUUGGACCAGCUGCUAGCCACCUUAAAUUUUCUGAUACGCCAUGAUUGUCUUCCUCAAGUUCACUUUGAACCUGCAAAUUAAUCAUAUCUUAAUUCAAUCUAACAUAGAAAUAAGAAAAAAAUUAAAAGAGAAAUAUGUUAUUCAACAACAUAUACCUUGAAGCGUAGCCAUUGAAUGAAAAUGCUAUUGUGCUUAUCCUGCAGCCACUUUGUUCUCUUUCUAAAUUGUGGAUAAGCAGUCUUGAUGUGGAUCAUAUGUUGCCUACAUGACACGAAAAAUUCAAGCAUUACGGUCCCAAAUAUAUAAGAUAAACAUAAGAAAUAAUUUAAAAUGGAAACUUAAAGAAUAAAACUCAUACAUACUCGAUAUAAGGUAGGACUUCCUCCGUAUUCUCCAAGACAUAUAGAUGUGCUUGAUUCAACAGGUCCUGUUCAAUCGUCGUCGUAUGCCUAAAAAGGCGUUGUGUCUCAGUUUAUUUUCAAGAACCCAAAACCCAUAAAGAACACAACAUAUAUAUGAAACCAAGCAAGAAACCAACAUAUACAUGAAACCAAGCAUGAAAACAAUAAAUCCAUUCCCAAUUCAACAUAACAUAGGGUGAUUAAAAGAUCCGACAAAAUUAAAUCCAUUCCCAAUUCAACAUAACAGAUAAUGUAAUCCAUGAACCCAUUAAACAGAAAAUCCAUGAACCCAUAUCUAUAAGCACAUUAUUAACAGAUCGCAAAGCAUAUACCUAAAACCCUUUAACAAAACAACCUAAUAUCAUUCAAUGAAUUUACAAGGGGAAGAUAGGGUUUGUACUUACAGGUUGGACGAGCUCACAGAUUCGACGGAGCCUGGAGAGUGCAACUUUUAAUUAGAGCAGAAGUGAGAGAGCGAAAUGUUAUGUUGCGCGAAAUCUGAAAAUUUUAGGGUUCAGGGUUAGAAGUAUAAGAAUAAGAGCCAAAUCUAAAAAAUUUAGGUCGCGCGAAAAUUUUUAGAGAGCGCGCUCUUUAAAACGUCGAAAGAAAAAUCAUGGCGAAAGUUCUACAAGAACCGACGUAAAUGUAAUAUUCCACGACGGAAACACUGAACGUAACGCCGUUUAUUUUGACGCUUCAUUUUUCGGAUUAAUUUUAAAUUUAUUUUGAAUAUUUUGAUAUAAAGACGGCUGAAAAACCACGUCGGGGUUAAGAAAUUGAAGACGUUGUAAAUUAUAAUAGACGACUUACAUAUUAAAAUGACGUCGUUUAAAGUAUAAACCAUGUCGGAUAUUUUACUGCACGACGUAACAUAUGUAUUCCACGACUCAACCACCGUCGUUAAAAAUUAAUACCCUAAACCCUUAAAACUAAAUUAUAUAAUUUAAAAAUUUAAGUUUAUAAAAGGGUUUAUGGUUUUACAGCCUAAUAUAUACCCUAGACUACCCAAAAAUUAUACUUUAAAAAUAAACCCCAAUAAAUAACAACCCUAAUCUCUAAACCCUAGACUCUAAAUCCUAAACCAUAAAACUAGAAGUGAUUUUAUGACUCAUCAAAACAAUUUUGUUUUGGAUGGUCAUUUUAAAUUUUUGAAAUGAAUUUUUUCAAGGUUUAGGGGGAAGAAAAUAUAUCAAUGACUUCAUAGGAGUUGACUUUGCAUUUUUCUGAUUUAUUUUAAAUUUAUUUUGAAUAUUUUGAUAUAAAAAUAAUAAAAUAUUCUUAUCACAAUAACAAACCACGUCGGGGUUAAUAAAUUGAAGACGUUGUAAAUUAUAAUAGACGACUUACAUAUUAAAAUGACGUCGUUUAAAGUAGAAACCAUGUCGGAUAUUUUACUGCACGACGUAACAUAUGUAUUCCACGACUCAACCACCGUCGUUAAAAAUUAAUACCCUAAACCCUUAAAACUAAAUUAUAUAAUUUAAAAUUUUAAGUUUAUAAAAGGGUUUAUGGUUUUACAGCCUAAUAUAUACCCUAUACUACCCAAAAAUUAUACUUUAAAAAUAAACCCCAAUAAAUAACAACCCUAAUCUCUAAACCCUAGACUCUAAACCCUAAACCAUAAAACUAGAAGUGAUUUUAUGACUCAUCAAAACAAUUUUAUUUUGGAUGGUCAUUUUAAAUUUUUGUUAUUCAAAAUGAAUUUUUUCAAGGUUUAGGGGGAAGAAAAUAUAUCAGUGACUUCAUAGGAGUUGACUUUGCAUUUUUCUGAUUUAUUUUGAAUUUAUUUUGAAUAUUUUGAUAUAAAAAUAAUAAAAUAUUCUUAUCACAACAACAAACCACGUCGGUGUUAAUAAAUUGUAGACGUUGUAAAUUGUAAUAGACGACUAAGUUGUUAAAAUGACGUCGUUUAAAUGAGAAACCAUAGCGGAUAUUUAACUAUCCGACGUAAAAUAUAUAUUCCACGACUUAACCGCUGUCGUUACAAAGUACUACCCUGAACCCUUAAGAAAUUGAAGACGUUGUAAACCAUAAACGACUCAAUUGUUCAAAGAACGUCGUCUAAAUAUCCUUUUACGUCGGAUUUGUUUAAAACGAAACAACAAAAAACGACGGUUUUUGACUUUAUUAGGUCGUUGGAAAAGUAUUACACGUCGAUUACGCAAUUUGUAUGUUUGUUUUUUUUUUAAUUUAAGAAAACCUCAACAAAUUUUUACAUUAUAUAUUAUAGACAAAAUUUGUACAUUAUACAUAAAUAUCAAGUGUUCAAUAAUUCCCCUAUUCCAGGUGAAGGCAAACAAACUCUGCCCAUUCAUUCCGGACUUCAUCAAUUGCUUCUUGGGGGUAUGGCGCUUCCUGUUUUCCCUUGGCAUACUGCAUAAACAAUGACUAUUAGGGUUUAUAAAUAAAAAGAAAUUCAAUCACAGACGACGAUAUUUUUCAUAACCGAUGUAGUAUAUCUAUUCAACGACGGUAAUUUUACAUGACCGUCGUUGAUAAUACAAAAAACGACGUAAAAUGUAUGAAUGUAAUUUCUUCUUACUUUCUUCUCAAACGCCAAGGAAGGAUCCAUGAUGAUGUCCCUCAUGAAGCGCAUCACAUAAUACCCGCAUUCGACACUGCUGGGUUGCUUUGGUGUGCCUGACAGAGUUUUCCAGAUUACUGCUUUACGGCCUGAUCUGGCUAUGUGAGAAUUAUAUAUUUUUAUAGCACUGAUCACGAUGUUUUUGGCCUCUUCAUCGACCACACGAUUUCCGGACAGAGGAUCCAGAAAAUAGACGGUUUCCCUCUUUGCUCUCACAAUCAGUAAGAUCCAAUGAAGGCUGCCCAAAAUUAAUAUAAAAACGACGGUUAUUUACAAAAACGACGUAUUAUAAUAUUUCACACGACGAAAUAAAGUAGCAAUCAACGACAUUAUAUAUUUAUCACGACGAUAAAUGACUACCGACGUGGUUAGUAGUUUCAAACGACUCAAUAAAAUAAAACACCGACGUGGUUAGUUUAUACGCUGUCAUUUAUUGAAAAUCAUAAAAACAAAAUCCUGUUAAGGAGACUAACCCUGGAUUGUAAGGCAUCAUGAAAAUCUGUUCACCAUCAGUCUUCUGAAGUCGAGCUGCUACCAAUCGUGAUCUGUCAGCUAUUGUGCCAGAGUUGGCACUAACUGUAGCAGGGUCGAUAAAGCCAACCAUGCUGCACAUAUUUGCUUGUUUCAAAAGAUCAUGUAAGUACCUAAAUAUAUAAAAUAAUAUAAACAAGUCAGCACAAAAAAACACACGACGGUUAUGUAUAACAAAACGACGUGGUUAGUUAGUUAAGACGACGCAAUAAAUAAACCAACGACGUAUUAUUUUAGAAUGACAAACCUCAUAUAUACAGCAACCACAGUAGCUCCUAUUUCUUCCAUGCCUGCAAAUUGUGUAAUAUCUUCAGGCAGGACGAAGGUAUCGCGUUCUAGACCAAGCACCUCCUUAUCAAUUGUAAAGUGCAGGGUUUUAUCCUGAGGCACGAGUGUCGUUUCCGCAUAACGACAAAGGGAUUUUAAAGAAGAUGGCGCCUCCAUAUUUGAAUAAUCAACAACUUUAAUAACCUGUUUAAAGAAAUAAAAAAAAUGACGUGAUAAUUCAAUAAAAACGACGGUUUAAGGAAUAAAACGUCGUCUGAAAAGAAUUUAAACGACGGUGAAAAAACCGUCGUGGUGAACAAUUUAUUACGUCUUAAAAAAAAAUUCCGCCGUCUAAGUUUUAAACAAACGACGGUUUAAAGAAAAAUAUCGACGUCUGGAAUUUUAAAAAACAAAUAAAAAAGGCAAAGUUAUGUGAACAUACCUGGUCGUCAUGCUUUUCUUCAUCUUCUUUCUUCUUUUCAUCUUGUUUUUCUUCUUUCUUCUCUUCAUCUUUUUUUUCUUCUUCCUUCUCUUCAUCUUUUUUUUCUUCAUUCUUCUCUUCAUCUUGAUUUCCUUCAUUUUUCUGUUUUAAGUAAUAAAGAAUGUAGAGAAAGUAAAAAAAUUAAAUUCAAACGUCGUGGUAAGACAAAACACAAGAUAGUAUGUAAGAAUUGUGGACGUCUUAAAUUAUUAAACGAUGGUAAAUAGUAAACGUCGUGGGAUUUAUAUAUUACGUCGGGAAUGACUAACACCGUCGUCUAAAAACCACAAAGUUUUAAAAAUAACGACGUUUAAUGGCGUGUAAAACAAGUAAACUAAAUACGACGUGGUAUUGAAAUACAAACGACGGUUUAUUUUUAAAAUCGUCGUGGUAUGUAUUUCAAAUGACGGUUUUAUUAAUAAUAACGACGUCUAAUAGUUUUUAAAAAAAAUAGAGAAUUCAAAGUUCAGAUAUGUUACCUUUUCUUCCUGAUGUUUCCCAUUUUUGGCAGUAUCAUCCUCAAAAUGUAGGGAUCUCACAUCACCUCCAGAGCAGCUUGCUUUGUCAGACAUUGGAUUUUUGGGACUUUGGCUAAUUCUUGGUUUAAGCAUGCUUGGAUCAAAAUUGGGAAUUAAUUGGGAAAGCUGACUCAGGAAAUGCUCCCUCUCAGCCUCUACCAAUUGUUUGGUUCUAGCCUCCAUCCUUAAAGCCUCUUCCCUUGCCUUAGCUUCCAUCUUUUUAUUCUCUUCUUGAAGGAGAACUCUUAAACUGUCCUUUAAACGGUCGUCAAAGCUCAUCCUCUGUGGUUUGGGUAAAUUGAAAUAUUGCCUUGGGGAAAUCCCAGCACCUACACCUCUCACUCUGCCUGGAUGCUCGGGGCCCAAAGCCAUGGUCAGCACAUCAUUGCUGCCAGAUACACUGACUUUGCCUUCUGAGACUUGUUUUUGCAAUUCAUCCUAAAACAAAGAUAUAUAAAAAAGUAAGAACAAAAAACACACGACGGUUAUUUAUACACAAACGACGUAUUAUAUAAUUUCAGACGACGCAAUAACAUAUAAAUCGACGUUAUUAUAAUUUAUCACGACGGUAGUUAUACCGACGUGGUUAGUUUUUUAAAACGACGAAAUGAAUAAACCACCGACGUCUUAUGCUUUAUUUACAGAUAACAGAGGGAUGAUUCAAUAUUCACACCUUUAACGACCUUGUUUAAAACAUUUCGACGUAGUAAUUUAAUACAAACGACGCGAAAAUGAACCACUGACAUCUUAUGCUAUAAUUACAGAAAACAGAGUAGUGAUUCCUGAUUUAGACCUUUAACGACGUUUUUUAAAAAAUUUCGACGUGGUAAUAUCAUUCACAUGACGCAAAAUAUAACAUAAGACGUAAUAAGAAUUAUUCACAGUUUAAUAAAAAUUUAAAACAGAGUGAGUAGGCUUACAAUUAAUUUUGCUUUCUCUGCCACCUUUGGAUCCGGGAUGUUACCAUGUUUGUCCUGUCUAGCUCUCUUCCAUAAGGUAGAUCGAUCAAUUUCUACCCCAGGCAUGGUUUCCUCCAAUUGAUCCUCCAAACCAGCAUAUCCUUUUCGAGACAAUCGAUGAUUGUACUCAAGUUUCUCCCUAAUCUGUGCAUGUUAAGAAUGCACAGACUCAAAAUCUUUGGAUAACCUUGAAGCUACAAAGGCAUCCCAUUGUGCUUUCUCUAUGAAUUUAUAUGUUUCAGGGGGUUGGCUUAAUCUCUCCCUGUCAUUGGUGUAUGGAAGGAUAUAAUGCCUCGUUAGUGUAGACUUGAAAUCCUUCCAUUUCUUGGCAGCAGAAGCUAACACAGACUUCUUGCCCCCUUGACCUACCACAAAAGCAAUGUCAACUGCUUCCCAAAUCUGCUCCUUUAUACCCUUGGGGAUUUGAGCCCAUUUCAUGUUCACAAGUGGAACUCUGGAGCGUGCCAACACACCAAUGUAGGACUGCAUCUCACUAUGUGCUUGGCCAAUUCCUUUCCCCCUUUUAUUGUACUCAACAAUUGGACUGAGUUUCUGAAGUUCUCUUCACAACACGAGGCAUUGUGCUCAUACCUCGACCAGACUUUGAAUCAUCAGAGAUUGUUGUCGUGCUGGUUGGUUCUGUCUCAGCAGAUGAUGAAGCAAACUUCAUCUUCUUCGAAGACUUCAUCUUCUUCGAAGACUUCUCUUGAGGAGUUACCAUUCCAAGCUCCUUACCUACAUUUUUCUUGGAGCCAGAGUCCUUACUUUGGUCUUGAUAAACCAUUUUUACAGACAAAACUGCAAGUGAAAAUAUUUCAGGGAAAGAUUAAGAACACAAACGACGGUUAUUAAUAAAAUACGACGUAUGAUAUGAUUUUAAACGACGCAAUGAAAUAAUCUCAGACAUAAUAAAUGUUUAAAACCAAGGUAAUUAAACAACGACGAAAUAAUAUAAAAUAAGACGUAAUAAUAACUUAUUACGUCGAUAUUUACCGGACGACGUGAUAAUUAACUAUAAACGACGAAAUAUUUAUAUAACGUCGUGGUAUUGAUGUUCACACGACGUCAAUAGUAAUAUACCGUCGUCUCUAUAAGGAUCCAAAACCCUUCUCUCUUUCUCUGUGAAUGUUUGAUUGCAGAUUUGAUUUUUCUGAACCACGGUUUUUGUUUUCUAAUUUGAUAAAAUACAAGGCCAAGAAAGAAAGUUUUGGAAUCUUAUAUAGACGACGGUAUUUUAAUAUGACGUCGUGGUAUUAACAUUCACACGACGUAAAACAAUAAGAUACUGUCGUCUAUAUUAGAUACCAACCCUACUUUCUUUUUCUUUAUAUUUUAUCAAAUUAGGGAAAAACAAAAACCAUUGUUCAGAGAAAUCAAACCUGCAAUUAAACAAGCACAUAAAAAAAAGACUAUAAUUUUAAAAAUAACUUUGUCAAUUUUCAGACGACGCUAGAACGACUGAUGAACUGUCGUGGUCUACAUAUUUAACCACGUAAAUAAGAAGCUACCGUCGUCUUAUUUAGUUGAGGUAGUUGUCUUCAAAGUUGGAAACUUUCCCUCUUUGUCUGUAUAUUUUAUCAAGGUAAAAAGAUUUUUCAAACAAAAAACGUAUGAGCAUGCAAAACAGCAACCAAAAUAGUGAAAAUGAAAGCUUACCUUUUGCGUGCAAUGAAAGCAAGAGGAAGACGAUGUUUAAGUUCAGAGACGACGAAGAAGACGAGAGGAAGACGAUGAGAUACUCUGACAGUGCUCUGACAAGGAAAAAAGACAAAGUUUUCUCUGGGAGAUUGAAAUUUUUAAUCGGGUUUGGAAACAGUGCAUGUGUAAGUCAGGUAGACGAAAAGUUGCUUACAUAUAAAACCAUUUCAAAAAAAUAAUACGGCGAUUACAUAUAACUACGACGUAUAAAUUACAAAAUACGACGGUACAUUUAACUUCGGACGUGGUAAAUAAAUACGACAGUAGAGUUGUAGGUACCGUCGUAGUAAACUCAAAAAUUAAAGUACAUAAGUAAUAACUCGCGUCAUGGUAGAUUAUUUAACACGUCGUUUUUAUUAAUGUACCGACGUGGAUUUCUGUAAUAUACGUCGGUCAUACCGACGUUGAUUUUACAAUUUAAACGAAAGUUUUUUUUCUAAGGACCGCCGUUGGUUUUAAAAAUUUAUUCUAUAAAUUUGUCGCUUUCAUUCAUUUUCGGUUUACAUUUAGGAUUCCAAGUUCUUCCUCUCUCAGAGACACUGUCUCUCACAUCUCAAAGACAAUAAUUUGGAUGUCUUUCUCAAAGAGAAAUUGAGCUUACUCGUAUCAAAUCUAUGUCCACAAGAAGAAGCUUGUCAACUAGCCUUCUCACUUCCUUGAUCAAGCCUGAUAGGACACUUAGUGCUUCUGAAUACUCCUUGCUUUCCAUCAAAAGAGAUGCAAGCCUGGCCUCCACUCGCUGUCGAAGGAAAGUUCGCUUCUCAGGGAAAUUUGAAGAUCAGAUGUGCUUGAUCCUCUGCUUGAUUUUCUUGGCUAAGAAGAUCCGUCAGAUUUGUCAUAGCCUCUUCCUUUAUCCGUAGAGCUUCAUAAGAAGAAGAUGGGUUUCAAGAAUGCGAUAAAGAAUAGAAAUGGCUUCAGAUGGCCUCUAAAGCAUGAGCAAUGGAAUCAGUAGUUGCUGGGAGAUAUGAUGAAGACAUUGUCAAUGCUUUGAACUAUACAAGUCCUGCAGAAAGAUAAAUUUAAAGGACCAAACUAUUAAAGAAACUGAAACAAUGGCGGUUUUCUAUUCUACCGUCGUCUUUUCUCGUCAUCUAUAUUAAGGUAAGAUGGCGGUAGAUUUAUAAUUACCGACGUAGAUUAUUUUGUUAAACGUCGUUAAGUGUAAUACAACCGACGUGGAUUUUAUUUUUAAAUUAUAAAUAGAGUUUAUUUUUCCGAAUUUUUUCAGUUUUAGUUUUCAAUUACAAAGCGUGAUAAAAGAUUUUUCUUUCCCGAGAAAAUUUAAAAUGAGGGAAAUUAAUGUUCUAGAAUUUGUAAACUAACACGACGCAAUAUUACUAACCCGAGGAAAUUAUAAAUAGAUUUUGCUUUCCCGAAGAAAUUUUAAAUUAAUUCAGUUUGAAACAACGACGGUUUUUUGUUAUGCCGUCGUUUUUAACUAACACGACGCAAUAUUUAUUUUGCGACGUGGAAUCUUUUCAUUUAACGUCGUUAGGUUUAAUAUAACCGACGUGGAUUUGAAUUUUUAAAUUAUGAAUAGAAUUUUUUUUCCCGUGACCUUUCAGUUUAUUUUUCAAUUACACUGCGUUAUAAAUAGAGUUUUUUUUCCGGAGGAAAUUUAAAAUGAAGGAAAUUAAUGUUCUGAAAUAUGUAAAGUUUCUUUUUUGGAUGACAGAUUUAAAUAAAAUAAGAAUAUAAAAACAACGACUGUUUUUGUAUUACUGUCGUCGUUUUUCGUCGUCUUAAGUAAGACUAAGACGACGUAAUAUAUUUGUUGAGCGACGUUGAUUUAUUUUUUAAACGUCGUUAGGUAUAAUAUAACCGUCGUUGAAAAUUGUCUCUCUGAUUGCAAAUUUGCAACGACGUUAGGUAUAAUAUUUGUAGAUACACAAACGCACACACAUCAUCAACUUCCAAAAAAUUGUCUCUCUGAUUGCAAAUCUGUGUCAUCUGUUAAUAUUAUGUCCUUGGGAUCUCAGAAAAAUCUGAUUAUGUCGGCGGUUUUCUAUAUAAACCGUCGUGGUUAUUUCAAUUCUUGUCAUGAAGUAGAUCUACCGACGUAGGAUAAGAAAAUCAAAGAAAAAAAUUGUUAACAAAAAUUCUUAUUAAGACGACGGUUUAAAUUAAAGGUACGACGUAUAAAAUGAAUAAAUACGACGUUAAAUUUUAUAGUACGAUUUAAAGAUAACGUCGUAGAACUAUACGAGAAUGACGUCGAUAUAUUUAUAUUUUUCGUCGUUCUACAUUAAUUUAAUACGGCGAUAUUUUGUAUUUUAAAGCCGUGGAUUUGUUUGUAAUUAUACGGCGUCUUAUACGAAAACCUCGUCGUGUUAUUUUAUGAGUAAAAACGGCGGCUUUUAUUGAAAUCGUCGUCUUUACUUUCUACGUCGGUCGAUUCAUAACUUCUGCCGUUCUUUGUUGGCUUUGAUUUUACACUGCGGAAAUCUGUUUCAAAUAGACGUCGGUUGUUUAAUUAGGUACGUCGUUGUUUUUGAACAGCCAUUUGAAUCUCCAUUUUUUAGUUGUCUAAGGUGGUAUUACACGACGGUGUUUUUAGAACCGUCGUCUUUUUAAAAACCACGACGAUUUUCACUUAGACCGUCGUUGUUUUCUGGUCGUCUUUUUCACUUUUUGUAGUAGUGCUCUUUUUCUUCAGGUCAUUUCUCAUGAAUUUGAGCCUAGUAUUUAUAGGCCAAGAAUUGGGUCUUGGUUUGGAAUCCCCAAUCUGAAUCCCUUGAUUUGUGAGAUUGAUUUCUAAUUUGAUUCAAUUUCAGCUAAUUGAUUUAAUUUAUCUCUUAACUAAGUCAAAAAUCUUCAUUUAGGGAAAUUAACUCAUAAUUUAGGAAGAUGACCAAAUAAGGAUAAUUUAUUCCUUUUUGGCACAUGAUUUCAUUUGAUUGAUGAAGCUCUUAGAUGUUGACAUGUGUCAGCUCCAGUAAACACCUUUGUCUGCGUGAGUCAUGUGCCACCACAAGAGAAGCCAUGAUGACCACCGUGGCACUUGCCACGAGAACCACCGCGCGGAUGGGAGGAUCCUUGGUGAGAGGUGGAUGAGCCUGGCUGAGAUGAAGGGUGAGUGGUGAUGAGGGCUGUGGUAUUGUCUGCGGAGGCCGAGGAGCGAGAAGUUUGGUUCUCAAAGAAUAGCAGACGAGAGCGGAGGUCUAUGAAGCUUGGCAGAGUGGGUUGAUUCAGGAUGGUGGUAAAAUGAUCCCCGCCUUGAGUAGUAGCUAGGUUAGGAAGGGUGAAUGGCGGUGUGGAGUUUUUCCGUCGCCGGAAAUGACUCUACAUUCCCACGCGGGAAUUGAAUAUUAUGGUUUAUUGUGAGAAGUUAUAUGAUUACACUAUGUUAAGUACCAUCCCCCGGUUACUAGGCUUCCCACAUGUGGCGUUGGAAAUUUUUCGGCAUGUAGGAAGAAUAUAUGAUUAUCUGGUCUCACACGUGGCGUUGGAAAUUUUCCGGCAUGUGAUGAUGUAGUCUGCGCGUGUAGGACUUAGUAUUUGAGCCAUAGGUGUCGUUGGAUAUUUUCCGGCUUGUGCGCUAUAGAGUUUCGUCCCCCGGUUGGACCGCUCAUCUCUAGACGCAGGAUAGAAACUGGAAAUCCUGCGGGCUAGCCAAACAAUCCCCUGGUUGGAUUGUUUCUCCGGUACCUAAGUAGUGUGAUAAAUGCUUCGUAUAUAUGUGUGUGUAUAUAUAUAUAGGCAUAAAUCAGUUUUAAAGUAUAUAUAGUGGUUUGGAAGAAUCAGUAUAAAUUAUUGUGAAUAAAGUUUAGAGAUAGAGUGGUUGGUUUAAAAGGGUUUCGGCAGAUAAAUAUUUUGUAUAUAUGUAUAUAUAUGUGUCGGUAUAAAUCAUUUUUAAAGUAUAUAUAGUGGUUUGGAAGAAUCAGUAUAAAUUAUUGUGAAUAAAGUUUACUGAUAGAGUGGUUGGUUUAAAAGGGUUUCGGCGGAUAAUGUUUUUGAUCAUUAAGUAAAAGUUAGUGAAUCUGCAUGUUUUGAGCAUUUUUUUUACACGGUGGGGUUAUUAUGUUGUUUCGAAAUUUUAAUGCAAACUUUGUUUUUGUUCACUCACAUGUUUUCUAUUUUGCGCCCCCCAGACAGUAGUCGCUCAAGGGAGAGUUGCAAGCCGAGUCCGAGGCCCUGAAUCGUGAACAUCAGUAGAAUAGGUUUCGAGUAUUUUCUUUCUAUUCAACUGGCUGUUCUUGUAAACUAAAUUCGUUAGAUGCUAAAUUCAACUGGCUGUUCUUGUAAACUAAAUUCGUUAGAUGCUUUGUUAUCGCCCAUGUUAGGUUAUACUUGUGAGGCUAGAGGCCAUUCAGUUUAUAUUGUUGAAUGUUGAAUGCAUGCUGCUAGUUGGGACUAUAUUGUGUUUGUUAUACAGGUUGAAAUUUUUGGAAUUGUCCAAGUACAGAGGAGACUCUGCAGAAAUUUCGGCAGAAGUCUCAAUAUUAGAAUGUGGGCCCGGCAUCGGUAUGAUGUCAGAAAUAAGACGGGAUUCAUCCCUGUUUUCGAGGAAUUCGGGGCCCGUCCUGUCAUCCAGUGCCCACCUUUGUCUGCGUGAGUCAUGUGCCACCACGAGAGAAGCCAUGAUGACCACUGUGGCACCCGCCACGAGAACCACCGUGCGAAUGGGAGGAUCCUUGGCGAGAGGUGGAUGAGCCUGGCUGAGAUGGAGGGUGAGUGGUGAUGAGGGAUGUGGUAUGGUCCGCGGAGGCCGAGGAGCGAGAGGUCUGGUUCUCAAAGACCAGCAGACGAGAGCGGAGGUCUGUGAAGCUUGAGAGAGUGGGUUGAUUUAGGAUGGUGGUGAUAAGCGUGGAGAAGUCAGAACUAAGGCUUUUGGAUGGAGAAGAGGGCAUCGACAAUAUGAUUGAGAUACUCAUCUAUGGUUUGAGAUCCUUUUGUCAUGUCAUGAAGUUGGAAUCGAAGGCUGGAUGCACUUGCAAGAUUGCGUUGGGCAUAAUGGUUCUGUAAGCACUCCCAAAUUGAUUGGGCAGAUUCAUGACCCACGGUUAAGGAGAGAACAGCAGGAGAUAGAGUUGUGGUGAUGUAGCUGACGACAAGUUGGUCAUGUUGGCACCAAGAGAGAAAAUCAGGGUUAGAUUUGGUAACAGUAGUGGUUGAGGAGGGAGUGUCGGGGCAGCAGAGGGAGUAGUGGUAGUUAAGGUGAUAAAUUCAUAUGGUGAAGGAUUUUAUCCAUCGACAAGCUUCCAGAGGUCAUGACCCAUAAGGAACGACUUGAUUUGGCGGAGCCAGAAAAGAUAAUUGGAGGCGUCAAGUUUGAGGAAGUGUGAGGUGUUAGGGCCGGGAAGAGAGGAGGCCAUGAGGAUCAGAAAGAAAGAUAGGGUGAGACUUCAAGGAAAGAAUUGAAAGGCUGAUACCACGUAAAGGAGAAUUUCCCGAUGAAUAUUUCAUUAGCAUUGAUAUAGAUUAUAUACACACUUUAGUAGAGAUACAAAAGGUAAGAAAUAUGAAAUACAAUCAAUUAUAAUUAAUCAGUAAUUAGAAUCAGUGACAGCUAUUAUCUAAUCAAGGCAAUGAAGGAGAAGAUCUUGUAGGGGAGGAGAGCUGACCGGGCUUGAUUGCUGCACUAACACAUAUAUAUGGUAAUUCUGCAGAAAUAUGCUGUUUUGAAAUCCUAUGAUAACAAGGCUCUGAGUUAUAAAUCGGAUGUGAGACAGGACAACAGGAAGGAGAGGUACUUUUAGUGUUCUCUCAGGCCCACGUUAUAUCCAGAAAAUCGAACUCAUUUCUUCGUGAAAUUUUUUAUGGAUUCUUCUAUUAUUAUAAAUGGAAUCUACGAAAGGAUUUAUGGACUGUUACAAAUUAGUACAAUGUGCAAAACAGAGGACUCUAAGAAGUGUCAUUAUAGAACAGAGUGGAAGAUGGGGUUUAAAUUCUUGGGUCAAAUUUUAAAAUUGAAGAAUUAGAUAUUGAAGAUGAACGCUUGGUUGUUGAUCUUUCGGACGAUUGUGAUAGCUUUGAUGUGGGCCUCUACAGAGUUCAGCUGAUUGGAAUAUGGUUGAUAAGGGUUUACAAUAGUUUCCUGCAAUAGAGGACCGAACCAAAUGCGAACAACCAUCUGCGAUUUGGUUGCAAUUUCCAGACACUUGAAUGUCAUUCUUCUUGUUCCAUAGCUAAAAUUUCUUCCUGGGUGACAAGGGUGGAGGUGGUGGGAUGAGGUCUCCUAGGCAGACACACCAUUUAUCAAGGCAAAUGCAGUUGCAUCUCUCUUUUUUUUGGGUCAAGAAUGCAGUUGCCUUGCUCCGGCUCCCUUGUGAGGAUCUGCAUUGAAGCAAUUUGUUUUCCUCAAUAAAAUUUAUAAAAUUUCAUUCUACUAGUAAAAUUAAUAGGCCAUUCCAAUUGUUCUUAUUAGAUGACAAAUUUGUUUCAUAUUACAUACGUCGUGUUUGUGUUAUGUUGUGCCCUUUUUUAUCUUCUUUGGGUCACCAAACUGAUGCUAGCUAACUCAUUUACAGUUCAUUGGAAUGAUGAAAAAAACAAAAAAGAAAUAGAGAAAUAUAGAAAUAUAGAAUUGCAAGAUGCAAACACCAGAACGGCAAGAACUGUACAUGAGGGUACCAUGCUAACUAAAAAAAAAAAAAAAAAAAAUCAUUCCCAAGAGCUGUACAUGAGGUAGCUUGCCAGCUAGCAAACAUGGGACGAGAAUGAUUGCAAUUCAAUAUUGUCCUGGUGAACGUUUACUCUUUGUUUUCACACACAUUAAUACUUCCUCGUCUAUUUUAUCCAAUCUUGUUUCGACCCAAAAAAAAAAAAUUUAUCCAAUCUUGUACUGGUUCCGUUUUCUUUUGUUUUACAGAAAGAGUUCAAUUACAAACAGAAAUCACACGGGCACACAAGUUCGAAAAUAUUAAAAAUAAAAUGGAAGGGGAACAAUUCAAAGGCAACUCAUGCAAGGGCGGAAGGAGGAAUUUUGCAAUAGGUGGGUUAGCUAAAGUUAUUAGCUUAAAAUUUAAUAAUCAUAUUUUUUUGUACUUACAGUUUCUAUAUUAUUUCUAGAAAUAAACAAUAUACAUUAAAUUAUAUAAACCAUGCUAAUUCAUAGCUCUAUUAUUAAAAUGAAAGUCUGUUCAACAAUAUAAUUGAAAUUGUACAAAUUAAUGUGUAUUUUAAUUGAUGCCCAACAAUUAAAUUCAUAAAGAAUUAGACUUUUUUGAAAGCCACGUCCUCAAAGAGGGAGCGUACCAAGAUAAUAUCAUGCACAAGCAGUUUAAUACUCUGAGGGAUGGAAGCUGCCGGAUUGACACCGUGGAUAAUAAGCAUAGAAUCACCUUCAAUCAUCUUUUUACUCCACCCAUUGUGAACAUGAUAAGCCAAACCAUCUCGCAAAGCAAGGCAUUCAGCCACAACGAUAGCAAAGCAAGGCAUCUAUAAUUCUUUUCUUUAACCUUAAAAAUAUGAGAUGCCGUGAUGUCGGUGUGAGCUUACUUUAUUCUAUCAACUUAAAAAUGAGAUGCCUUGAUGUCAUGAGAUCAUGACGUCACGAGGCCAUGGUCAUUUUUCUGAUAAAUAACAUAUCAAAGACACAGAAUGUAUCUUGCUGCACACAGAAUUGAGGAAUUAAAGUGAGAGAAAGAAGAGAGAAAAUGCCAACUCUACCAAGGUUUGUGGUGGUGACAUCAAACACAAACGGGAAAUACUUGCGGUACAUAGAUGAAGACAUCAAGAACGAUGUGCCAGCAGGGUAUCUCAAGUUCUCUGGACAAGAGGCAGGUAGCCAAUACGCGAAGUUUGAAGUGGAGAUGGCAAAGAGUAGGUGCAAUGAGGGGCUUGUCCACAUCAAGUGUUGUUACAACAACAAAUACUGGGUAAGGCGUCGGCCUGAUAGCUACUUGAUCGCUGCUGUGGCUGAUGAACCAGUGGAAGACAAAUCUAAGUACUCGUGUACCUUGUUCGAGCCGGUGUACAUAAACGAUGAUUUCCUAGUCGGCGAUGAUAAAAGCACAAACCAUAUACUGGUGCUCCGAUUCCGCCAUACCGGACGUGGAGAGUACCUAACCAUUUAUAAGGCCAAUGACAGGCCAGCGCUAAGUGGAGGCUUGCUCUCAGGAGAUAGAGUCCCUAACCCCAAGUUGUUCGAUGUGUUCACUGUCACCGAUUGGGAAUCGCUGUUCAUGAUGCUUCCCAAAUAUGUGGCGUUCAAGGGCCAUGAUGGUAACUUGCUCGGCACCUGCUUGAACGAGGUCUUUGCCAGCGCCGAUGGAGGCCUCUCCUAUUCCUCGGGCAUAUUGUGGAGGCUGACCAAGGGCGAUUGGAUCUGCCUUGACGCAGAUAACUCAACCAGCCUCAAGAGAUUUCCCGUCACUGAAAAAAUUACAAGCGACGACUCAGAAGCCAACAACGAGGAGGUGAAAGAGCUUGGAGUUUCAAAGGAGAUCUAUAACGUCACUUUCCGCCUCGGGGACGCCAUGAUCUACAACAAGAAGGUUGUCGAAAUUGUCAUGGGAGAGGCGGUUAACCGUACCCAAGAAACUCAAACUGUCGAGCUGAAGCUCUCGUAUAAAAAAACUAGGAGCGGAAGCUUGAAGUCCAGCGUGUUCAAGUUGGGCGUCCAAAGCAGCAUCGACGGUGAGGUUCCAAUCAUCGCAGACAACGGAAAGAUCGAGGUUGAUGAGUUUGCAGAAUCAGUGGAGAGGCGAAAAACCGGGACAGCCACAACAUUCACAUGUAAUGUAAACGAGGCUGCUGUUUAUAAGGUUGUGCUGCCGGCAAUGGCUAUGGUGAAGGUGAGGCUUCUAGCGACCAAGGCUUCUUACGAUGUUCCCUUCUCCUAUACGGAGCGCGAAACUCUUGCUGACGGGAAAAUAAUUACCAACGACAUGGAUGAUGGGGUUUACUGUGGCACCAAUACCUUCAACUUCAAGUUCGAGACCACAGAAAAAGAUUUAACAUUUCACCAGUCAGCCAAUACAUUGUAAUUCCCGCAGACUACCCUCACAUACAGCUAUAGAAUAUGGAUUGUCGAAUGUCUUCAAAAACCUGUUGUGAGCUUAAUAAAACUUUUUUCUUCUUCUUCUUCUUCCUCGAAUUUGACUGUUCUCGAAUUAAAUUAACAAGAAAAAAAAAUCAUAAAUUAAAAGAAGUUUUCAAUGGGAUUACUUGUACAUUGCUUGGAUUUAUUUCAAGCUCAAUAAAUCAAAGGGCAACUGGUCAAAAAAUGUUUUCUAUUUGGACUGUCUUAAUUAAAGGCAACUUUCCAUCGGCCAACAAUCAUUGUUCUUUUAGACUAGGUGCAAACGACACCAUUUCCAUGCUCAGGCCCAACACCUUUGGACUCCAUCAAGGACAAAUAAGGAAAGACAUGGCUGGGAGAAGCCUUUUGCCGUCAUCCCCAUCCGUCAGUAUCAAUGUAGGCUUCUUGCCUUUCAUGGAGGAUAUGAAUGUCUCCAAUAACUACUUUUAUGUUCUAAAGGUCUCAUCAAGCAAUAGACACAACCAACACUCGUCCGGUGGUUGUUUGAACCUACAAAUAGCUCUAGAGGCUUGUCAUAUAUAUUGGUUUUGUAUGUGUUGUCGAAUAUGAGGACGUCUCUGGUGGCAAAAUAAUCCAAAAAUGAAGUAGAGUCUCUCCAAAACAAGUUAACAAGCCUAUUCUCCUCAUCUAGACCGAACUUACAAAUAAAAAUUCAAAAUCUACUGACGCUUUCGCUUUCAUGUAGACAAGUGUAGCUUUAGUGUCGCCGUCUAACAAUAUUUUACUACGUGAUGCAUCCAACUACUUCAUUGCGGAUCCAAGUCCUCAGCUCAUGCAUUAAUGAAGGCUUAAAUCCUACACCAUAUGCAGCAAUCCCUUCCACCAUAGGUAGCCAAAAUGGAUCAUUUACAAUAUUAAAUGGGAGUGCUCUAGAGAAGAAAAAACGACCAAUCUUUCGACAAGCUUCCUUUCUUUCUUCUUGUUUGUAUGUUGAAUUUAAUGUACUUUGCCGAGCUUCUGAAGUGACAAAUCUAUCCAUUGGUCCUUUUGAUUUAGAUUGUGCUCUAAGAGCCUCAUCAACUGCAACACUCCUAGUACCGGGGAUUCCAUAUUCUUUAUCAAAUGAAGUUUCCAUACUCUAAGCCCCUCCUCGUGGACCAUCCCCAAUUUUUCUAAGCAUUUCAUUUUUCUUUCUUUUUUAAAGCUGAAAUUUUUUCAAAGUUGCGGCACAUUCUUUUUUCACAUGCUCAUGAACUUUCUUACAUGGUUGCAUACCAUGAUGAGUUUGACCCAAACGAUGCUUAAGUCUAAAAAUUUCUCCACUGCAUCUUUGAUCACAAAAUGUGCAUCUCAGGUUUUUUUUCCCCCCUCUAUUUCUUUUGCAUACUUCCAUGCAGGAUCUUUUCGAUUCAUAACUAUAAAACAACAUCAUUCAUAUUUCUAAGAUACAAGUAUGAUGUAUGUACGUCAAAUUUCUACUAUAUCACAUAAACGAAUAAGAUAACUAAUAUAUUCAUAAAAAAAUUGAAAAAAAAAUACAGAACUUCAAAUUACAGUUGCGAAGAAUUGGAGAGAAAAAUAAAAUGGCUUACUUGCAAUCGAAGGAUGAAGAGAAUUAUUGAAAUUGAUGGAGAUUAUCUGGUAAUGGUAGAAAUUAGGGUUGUACUAUACAAUAUGUGUAUAUAUAUAUAUACUAGCUCCGUGAGCACACGCAUGUGCCAAUUGAGUUUUUUUUUUAAUUUUUUUAAUUUUUAAAAUUUUUUUAAUAUAUAAAAAUAUGAAUUUAUCAUAUUAUCCUUAUUUAAUUAAUAUUUUUAAUUUUUAAUUUUUGAAUUAACCAAGGGCAUUUUCUGGUAUUUUGAAUGUUUCAUCAUUAUCUAUCUUUUGCUUUAUAUAUAUAGAUAAGUCCAUAUGUUAAUAUAUUAAUUUAGAAAAGAAAAAAAAAAGGUAAGUAGAAUAAAGCUUCUUGCCUUAAGUUUAUUACAAUAAAAGUAAGGAAAAAAAACACAGAAACUUGCCCUUUUAAAAAAAAUAUAUAUAUAUAUAUAUAUUAAAACACUGCAAUCAAAACGACGUCGUUUCAUAAAAAUAAACCUAAAAACCAAGCAUGCGAGUUGUCUUCUUGGCAUAGUCGCAGCCAAUUUGCAGACUCGCAAAAUUUCUUCUGGUUCAGAAGUGUCCAAAUUUGGGUCGCCUUGCUCCACCUCGCUCUCCUGGGUCGUGGACACUGAUUUGAAUGAUGAAUUUAUUUCAUCCCCUCAAUUACAAAAUAUAUUAGUAUAUUACAUUUUGAAAUUGCAAUAUGCAUAUUAAAUACUCCUAUAAAUUGGUUUUUGAAAAUGCUCGAUAUAUAGUGUUAUUCUCUAUGGCAGGUACAAAAAGAGAAAUCAAAAUUCAGGCAUGCCUACGGUACAGCUUUUGUUUUUUAAAAAAGUCAAGCAAAACGCCAGGUCCCACUUGCUCCAUUCCUUGACAAUAAAACAUUAUUAUAUUAAUUAGUCCCUCCCCGUGGGCCGACCCAAAAAUCAGAUUUCCCUUUGUUUCAAUUUUGACUAGCUCUCUGUCAGCCAUAUCCACCCACAUAUUUCUAACGGAAGCCUCUCUCUCUCUCUCUCUCUUUUUCAAUCUAUUCAAACAAGAUGUGAAUCCUAUCCUAUCUUAUAAAUUUGAAUUCAUAUCCAAUCUAUAACUGUCUAAUAAAUCAAUUUAGGGUUUAAAGAGAGGCUUGAGAUGUUUCAAUUUAUGAAUCAAUGAACUGAUAGAGUCAAAUGAGUUACAGAAAGAUGGCAAGGAGACAAAGCAAACAUGUAUCAUUAUGGUAAAGAAACCUCCCCCGUUCCUGAAUUAAUUAUGUCAAAUUAAUCUUCUCUUGGAUAUUACUUUUCACUCUCUUUGCUUCCUCUUGGCAUUACUCCAUUUUAGCUUCUCUAAGUCUACAUGCCCACCAGAUUUGCAGCCCAAUGUACUUGGUACGCCUUUCAUGGCGGAGAAAGUAAGAAAGAUAUCUUCUUUAAAAGGAAUCCUCUACUUUGUUUUUUUUCUCUUCUCUGGUAAUAAUAAUUCAAUUUGCAAUUAUCUUUUGUGCAGGAGCUUCUGGCUGCAAAAUCAGCCAAAUUUGCUGCCUUACUCGAAGAUAAUUCCAAGGAAGAUCUUUCUCAUUUCCUCAGAAAUAUGCCUGCUGACCCCGAAACUCUUGAGCUUGUUGCCAGAUUCUACCAUGGCUUUCAACUUCAAAUUUCUACUGAGAAAGUUGUCCCCCUCAUUUGUGUUGCUCACUACUUGGAGAUGACAGAAAAUCACAGCAAAAACAAUCUUUUGGGCCAGGCUCUUUCUUUUUUUCAAGAAACAAUACUCCCCAGCUGGAAUGAAACUGUCAAGGCUUUCCGAACCACAGAAAAGUUCCUUCGACACUCCUUGAAGCUUGGAUUGGUUGAGGCCUGCAUGAAAUCUAUCAUUACAAAGGCACUAGCUAAUCCCAGCCUUCUUGGAGAACCAAUCAAGAAUUCCACCAAGUAUGUGGAUGAUAGUGAGGAGGAGGACGAAGGCUAUAAGCCGAGUGCAAGGAGAAGACUCUUUGACCUUGAUUUUAAAUCGGAGGAUCUGACAACACUGUCCCUCGAACUCUAUGAGCCAGUCAUCCAUGAAAUGAAUAAGCAUGGAGUUCCAUCACCGUACGUGGCUGCAUCCCUUUGUAACUAUACAAAGAAAUGGGUUUUAUCUGGCAGUGGAGAGGCAGUCAAGAGUAACUACAAAAAGGAAAUCCUUGAAGCUGUGGAGAGGCAUUUGCCUCCUGAGAAAGGACUUGUUCCAUGCACCUUAUUGUUCGAAAUCCUCCGGUUUGCUAAUGUUUUGGAAGUUAGCUCUGAAUGUAGAAAUGGGAUUGAGAUUAGAAUCGGAAAACAACUGGACCAGGCAGCAGUCAAAGACCUCUUAAUCCCUUCUCAAGGCUAUUCCAAGGAAAUGCAAUAUGAUAUUGUAUGCGUGAGGAGGAUAUUGAAAGUUUUCUAUGGCAGUUACACUUCGUCGGACAUAUCUGGGCUAAUUGCAGUGGCAGAACUCAUUGAGGAUUUCUUGGCCGAAGUUGCAAGUGACAUAGAUUUGAACAUAGAUACAUUUGUUGACUUAGCAGAGAUGUCACUUGCAGCAUCAUUGGGAACACAAAGAACCUUGGAUGGAAUAUACAGGGCAGUUGAUAUCUACUUAGAUAAGCAUAGGCACUUGACAGAGUCAGAGCGAGAGGAAGUGUGUCGAGUUUUGGAUUUUCAGAAAGUGUCCCCUGAAGCUUAUGAGCAUGCUGCUAAAAAUGAAAAGUUGCCUUUAAGGGUGGUGGUGCAAGUGUUGUUUGCAGGGCAGUUGCAGCUGCGAGACAGGAUCCUGAAGGAGGUGCAGGAUUCUGAUGACAAAUCAACAAAGGAGGAAGCGGAGGAGAAUGAAGAAAAGUUGGACUUUGGUGAAGAAGAAAUGAGAUCAGAGAUGGAGAAAAUGAGCAUGAAGGUGAUGGAGCUUGAGAGAGAGUGCAAUAUGAUGAGAAAAGAGAUUGACAAUGGCGGCAGCCCUAAGGUGAGGAAAGAGAAAACUAGCUUGUGGAGAGAAAUGAAGAGGAAGUUUGGGUGCGUCAACAGUGUGCACGAUUCUAACUGCCAAUUGAAGAAGAAGAAGAAGAAGAAGAUGCAUCCAAAACAAGGAGUCUGACAUGUAGAUUCUUCUUCCAUCAAAGAUUUCUUUUGCAAAUAUCUAGUUAUUCAUUGAUUUAUUUUUUUUUCAGCUUCAAUCAUUGACUUUCUGAAUAAUCAUUUUUCAGCUUGGUUGCCAAGUAGAUUGCUCUUCAUAACUAGUACUUUGUACCAAAUUUUAACUCAAGAAGGACUCAUGAAAUGACCAACCAAUUCUCUUAUUGUUAAAUUAUGCUAGAAAAAGUAGAAGUAAUUAUCGUUCUCUAAUAGCAGUUUAAUUUAUCAGUCUGGAUUUCAUGGCCAUAGAUGCAUAAUGAGAAUCAAGAAGCUUAGUUUGAACUUCAUUAUGGAAAGAAGUUUACGUUCUCAAAAGAAAUUGGACAAUAUGCAAAGAAGCUUAAGAAAACCAAAUUACAACAAAGAAAAUUUUUCCUCUAAGUUAGUUCCCUUUCUAGCAUCAUACUACAUGCAUAUAUAACUCUUGCAAAAUACUUUACAUGGGUCCAAAUUACCUCUACAAUCAAUUCUGCCCCCUUUUCUUCUUCAGAUAUCAUUAGCCUGAUCACACCAAGAACACACUCCAAACUCUCCUCCCCAUAUAUAUAACGUCCUCGAGCUUUCGUUCCCCGUGGCAAGAGAAGGAAGUUAUACAUGGUUG
rnacentral:lncRNA from 1 species